CACUUAGCUCUGACAGCUCAGGUGUUAGCACGCUCUAUUGAUUGAGUUUGGCAGCGUUUUACGUCGGUUUCAGCCAGGUUUUAAUCACAAAAUUCGCUUUUUAGGCUUUAUUUAUCGACUAUUCUCGCUUCCAAAAAAACAACCGUGGAGAAACACGUCUUACUUUUUCUUUAAUUGAAUGAGAGAAAAUCUGACAAGUAGCUAGCGUUACCUUGAACGUUACUUAAGUAACCUGCUAGUAAUUCCUCUGAGCUCCACACGCGACCGGAAAUGACAAUUACGGAUUACAAAGCGCUUUCACCUGGACAAGAAAUCAACAGGUAAAACUUCCAGUCGAUGAUAACAUUUUACUGUUUAGAGAACUUUAAAAAUUUGAUAACAAUUGUUCACUUGUUUUCAUGAAUGCGUGUACAUCAAGAAAUUGUAGCAUUAGGACUACCAUGGCUAAGUAAUGCAAUCUAGUACAACAGCUCUGCCAUAAAUUCUCCUUUUAGAAAACCCAUUAAGAGUUUUUAAAUGAUAAUUUUUGAGUUUUGAUUAUUUAUUAAUUCAUGUUUUUUUUAAUCAAAAAUUUAAUUGAAUUUUCCAUUUCAUUCAAGCAGAACACAAAUACACAAAGAUAUAAUGGAAAUACACGACGGGACAAAAAAAUAAUAAUUAUUUAAUUUGAAUGUAGGCUAUUAAUGAUGUGGUGUGCACUUAAUAUUUUGUUUACCUCAUCAACAAAUAAGAGGGGAACAAAAUAUUGGUCAUACCUCUCCAAUGUAAUGCACAACAGUACACCACCACAGCUUAAGCAUUUAAUGUAGAAAACUAUCAUCUCCAGAAUUGAAACUAUUUUAGACUGAAGCAUCAUUAAAAUAAACUGGACCUGAUUCUAAAAGUCCAAAUAUUGUUGGUUUAAACGUGAACAAAGCAGUGGUGAUAUUUACUAUAAAUGUCCUUACAUGUUGUUUUACAUGCCCCUCAUGCAUUGCUCUAUGUCUUACAUUCCCUCCCUGUUCCCUUUGUCACAUUUGGGCCCUCAUAAAUACACUUCAUCAUGCCCUAUCACAGUCUUCUUUUACGACUGAAGGGAUACGCUGUAAAGGACCUUGUACCCCUUUAAUGCCUGACAGUAUCACAAUACUUACCCACUCGGGAGCAGCCAACAAGAACCCCCUCCCUCAUGUCACAGGCAAACAGGUUACGUGACAUUGGGCAAAAAAUCCUCAGUGAGUUAAUUUGGAGGAUAAUUUUCAGCUCAGAGGCCACAGGAGGAAGAGCGUGCGGGCGGAGAAGCAGUAAUGGCUGUCCUGGGAAUUAGUGUGCUCCGGCAGGUCACAGGAUGGAGUGUGCUGUACAGUACAUAACCAGACAGACUACUGCAGUGUAAUGUUGUUCACCUGUUACAUAACUCUUAAGUGUGGUCUCAACGGCCUGAAACCUCCCAAGUCAGCUCAGCUGAAGUCUUGUUUACAGACACUGUGGACAUGAGCAGAGAUGUUAGAGCAUACAAACAUUUAACCUGGACUUGGAUCCCAGAAAGAGAUUUUAUAUAAUAUACUUUGCUUGGAUUACUUCUUUUUGAGGUUUAGUCACAGUCUUUCCUGCUUUUUUUUUGUUUGUUUCACAGACUAAUUCUGAAUGGUAUGGAUGGAUCCCUUAAUUUUUGAAUGAAGUAAGUAACUUGAAAGUAACUUGAACAGGUUUUUGUUUUAAAUGGGUAACACAAAGAGACUUCACUGGAUGUAACAAGUCUUAACUAUAAAAAUCCAAAGGUGGUUUAGAACCCUAGGAAACAUUUUUAAAUUGAUGGAUUCAGUUUCUAACUUCAGGAUUACUUGUGUGUAUUGUGGCGAUCUACUAGUAAAUUAUGUCCUCACUUAAUAAACUAAAGAGUGAAGUUAAGCAUGCAAGAGAGCGUGUCUAUCACUUCUUAUUUCCAAGUUUUAAAAAUAAAAUUGAAGUUCUGUACACAUUAGUCUGGUGGAGUGGUUAUGUGACAGUUUCAACAACUUUAUUUUUUGUUUUCCAGAUUAAGAUGCUGCCAAACUGUACCAUGCUGCAAGAUACCUGUCGUCUGUCAUCAGUGCUACAUCAGGUUGGUAGACCAUUGGAGCAGAAUGUAUUAAUUCAGUCACCAUUACCUUGAGCCCAGCCCUGUCUAGUGGUGGAUGGCUAAGACUUAACGUAUGACCGACAUUGUAGACAUAUAUUAGUAAUGUGAAUACUUAUCUGUACAAUGUUAGCUUGAUGCUGGUUGACUAAACAUGCACAAUCUUUGUCUACUUUGUGUAUGAAGCUUCUGUACAUACUGGUCCUCAUUUACCAAACGAACACUGCCCGUACAACCAUUUCCACACAAGGAUCGGCAUUUAUCAAUUUGAACGUGAGCGUACGAUACGAUCAAAUCUCACGACAGGUCUCACAUCGUGUACGCAAGUUUAAGUGCAGAUUUGCGGUGCAGCCAAUGUCUGUCUCAAAAUAAUUGAUAAACAAACCUCAAACCUGUCAUUAAACACAAUCAGACAGAUUUCAGUAAAGAUUAAGACGUAAAUAAAAUAAAAUAAAUUUGUUGUGUCCUUAGUGAAUAGGCCUGUUUGAUAACUCUGCCCAGAAACACUGCCACAGAGCAGGAGCGCCGUUUUAACAUCACACACAAGAACCCCAAACUGAUACCGUAACAAGUAAACGUGAAAGCACAAAAGUGUGAUGUGGUGUUAAGGCACUAUCAUCACAGUGGCCACAUCAACAUACUGUGGGAAAAAUAAUUUGUAUUCUACACAUAAGUUAAAAGUGACUGAAUUGAAAACAUAAAUAGUGAUUAUAAAUGCAAAUCAUGGAUCUUGCUUCUUGGAAUUGAGGAUGUGUUUCCUUGCACUUGAUGUUUGAAUAUAUAUUUUUUUGGGUGGACGGCGUUGUAAACAACAUCUUCCUCAGAUAAUGAAUUCUUUUAUAAAGAUGAAAAUUAAUUUAACUGCUUAAUAUUUCAGUCCAUGUGUCCCACUGUUUGUGUUGUACUCUGAAAGAGGCUUUUUGUAGAGGCUUUCAAAGGUCAUUCCAGGUGGGUCAGCGAAACAAAUUUAGCGCUCGCAAGGUUGUGACAACCGUAAUGACACUGUAAUUAUGCUCUCACACACCUCUCGAUGAAUGAUAAAAACGCGGCGUUCGAGGUAAAAUAGUCUUGUCCUCGGGCCAGAUGGCAUGCAGCGAUGAUAUCUGGCUUGCAGUCAAGGUGGACAGCAGACGAGCCAGUACUCUGACAAGCCAAUAGAUUCCAUACUCACCGUUGCCCCCAUCCUUUCCACCUCUAUGGCCAAUCAUCAAAGAUAAUCUUUUGAAUUAAGAGAAAAAAUCCAGGGUGAACACUUUGAUGAGAUAAGUACCCUUUGUCAGUGCAGGCAAUGGUAUUUUAAUUAAAUAUAUGAACACAUGGUCCUGCCCCAGAUGCUCAAGUCUAAACAAAGAUAGCAUCAUCUAAUCAAAGCCAGGCCCAGAGUGUUUCAAGGGCAGAAUUAUUUUCUAUUAGGGCCCCUCUCCUCGGGGAUUGAGCCAAUUUUCUUUAUUAUGAUAGAAUCAGCAUAUUGUAGAUCGACUUCGGCGAUAGUGUCACGGCAGGGUGGGUGUGCCGGUCCCAGAUGCGCCACCGGCAUGUCAAAUCCUUCAAACAUAUACAAGAGGUGUCUUUUAUUUUCUUUACAUGUUCAAACUCUGCUUGUUUUCCUUUUUGAUAACAUGUAAAGUUGAAAGUAAAAGAAGAAAGUGUGUGCUUUUUCUUGAUGUCGGUUCACAAGAUCCCCGUGUGUGGUCUAAUGAGCGCACUGAUCCAUUAAUCCCCUGACCUCGCUUGAUUCUAAUCAGUGUACCUUCAAAAUAUGCUAUUGAGAACCAAGAUAAGACUUCCCGCCGCUCUGCUAAUUGCAGGGUAAAACCAAAAAAUCAGCUCUACAUGUAACCCCCGCUAAGAUAAUAAAAAUAUAUUUGUCUGGAUCCUCUGUGGAUACUGUUGAUUGGACGCUGCUGUGAUGCAGCAAUUUAAUGAGAUCUCCUAAAGGGAUGCUCUCACUAAUGUGUACACAUCUGCUUUCAUGGCAGGGGCCGGAUAUGGCUGGAUGCUAAUACCAAUACUGGGGUUUUAUGCUAGCUCGUAGCGGUACACACAGUUAGACGUAAGCGAUGAAGUUGUUAAGUGCCGUGUUUUUCUAACAGGGUCACCGAGCAGCUGCCUGGUUGAGCCUUGGAUUUCAUAGAGAUAGAGAGUUGCCCUCUGGGAACGGAUGCUCACUUUAUGUAGGAUUAUAGCUUUCAUCGUGAAAGGUAUCUUCCUCUCAUAUCAAAGAAAUGAUUGUUUGGAAAUUGAACCGCAUUUUAUUGAGUUGGCAGGAUGCAAACAGGGUUCAGUUUUCACUUGCAUCUCAGGAGUAGACAGUUUGCACGCCACAUAUUAAAAGAGUGUAUCUGAGAGUAGUCUGAUGAUUUGUGAGAUGAUUAAAUGGUUGGAUUUCAGGCUUUUAACCGAGACAUCUUAAUCACUAAUUGCCUGACUCGUUCUGAGUUGGCUUAAUUUCAAUCCACGGUUUUCUAAGACAAAACACAGAGUCAAGUGUUACGAAUUCUGUGCUGCUUUAUUCAGUCUAAUUUCAUUAUCGAGAAUUGUUGUGAUCUUCUCAGCUAAAUUGUGCUCUCUGUGAUCAAAUAUUUGAUAUUCACUUGUUAAAUCAAACCGUUCUGGUCCAUUCAGUGAUAACAAUCGACUAUUUUUUUAGCAGAUUUGGUGCACGAUAUUCCAGAAAAAGAAAGAGAAGGAGAGACCCCUGUUAAAAUACAUAUAGGUAUACAUACAGGGCUAAGCCAAGCUGUCUGAAUAUUACACUAUAUAUUAAAUUUUCUGCUAAAAUGCAUGUUCUACCAUAUUUUGUUUUACAAAUGAUGCAGAAAACAUGUUUUUCAUGUUUUUUUAAACCUUUAUUUCCAUCUGUAAAGCCAGUAGAGUGAUGUUCAUACCUCCUAUCAAUUAGUGUGGUUUAAAUUUCACUCGACACUGUGUACGAAACUACUUGUGUGAGAUUGUAAUGCCAAUUAAAACAGCGCUUGGAUGUUGGGAUAAACUUGUGCAAGCUGCGCGUUAGCUGACAGCUUUCAGAUACUCCUGAUUUUUUUUGAUUCGUACAUGUGAUUGAUGUUUCACUGUGCUGUAGAGAAUGUACGUCGGGAUGUAAAAUCCCAUUUCCCUCCAUGUAUUUCAGGGUAAAGUAUUAUCUCAUACUGUGAAUGAUAAGGCUAGUCUUCAGUGGUGCAACAGAUUAGAAAUCUCAAGGUUUAGAUCAGACUUUUGGAUUCAAUAGGAAGCAUGUGUUUGGGUCUCUAACUCCUGUUUUUGGACUGGAAACAUUGCUGGUUAUAACAGAGCAUGUGGCCAAGAUCACUACAGUAGGUUGUUAUGUAACUAACAUGAAGUUUAUGAUUGUUGCCACUUUGAACCAACAGCUGAUACCUGUAUUUUAAACUGCAGUCAUAGCACAAGAAAACAGAGAAAAUUAGGCAUUGCUUAAAGUAACUAGAAGUUUAGAUGCUUUAUUACCAAUUUUAAUGAAAUGUAAAAAAAAAUUAAAAAAAGGAUUUAGUAAACACACACGUAAUGAAUGUAAGAUCCAUAAUAGUGUUUAAAUUGUGUUAAUGAAUUUUACACUGCUAGAGGGCAGAGCUGAUGGCAGCCUCCAGCUGAAAGAUAAACACUUCCUUGUCAGUGAAAAUGAUGUUUCAGGGUUCUUGUUGGUUAAAACGAACAGGUGUUUUUUUUUUUGGUGUGUGUGUGUGCUGAAGAGGGGACCUCAGCAGGGGUUUCAUCUCAAAGCAAAAGACUUUAAUGAACAUUUAAGGGUCAAGUUGAUAAUGGGUUUGUGAAGUUUGCACCCUGCUAUUUCAUUUAUGCAUAGCUCUGUGUGGAAGAAAUCAGCAAAAAUGAAACAGAAAAAAAGUGCAGAAUAUUCUCCUUAGAAAUAUGAGCAGCCCCGGAGUUUUCUUGCUGUUUUUUUUAAUUCAAGGACUUCUAGGGGGCAGCCCGAGUAUUAACCCUGUUUAAGAAAAGUCAGUAUUUCUCUAAUGAAAUCCUGCUAGCUAUUAACAUUUACUUAUUAUUUCUAUGAUGCAUUCGUACGAGUCCGUCAUGCUCUACGUGUUUCUUUUCAGGUUUGGUUUUGGAGUCAGUAAUGAAAUCGAACAUCCCUGUUUGAGAUGCUGAUACAGUGUGCAGCUUUCAGUGCAAGCCAACAGAGAAAAUUCACCCGUAAAUAUUCAGGGUAAAAUUAGCCUUCUUUGUGUCACAUGUACCAUUAUUUCCUGCUGCCAUCGUGGGAUCCCAAUUCCUUUGUAUGUUAUUGACUUCAGUAACCAAGUUGAUCUGAAUGUAGGUUUUGGAGAUUUAAAGUUACUCUGUCACUUAAGCAGCAAAAAAUUAAAAUAAAUAAAUAAAAGAAAUGAUUUUCUUAUAUUAUCAGAAUAAUGCCGGCACAGUUAGUACAGGUUGAAUACAGUCAAACGUAGGCGUUUUUGUUAAUUUUAUUUAAGUAGUUUUGUCAAAACUCAUCAAAUUGAUUGUUCAGGACAAAACUGUGGAAAACUGAAGCACCACAAAAGCAUGUUUUUUGAUGCUUCUGUGUUCUUUUCCCCUUUCGGAAUAAAUUGUUUGCUUUCUUAUUUAAACAAAGCAAACAAUUAAUUUUGAAUCAACAAUCCAAUUAACCUGGACUGUGACUGUAACGCAACUGUACUAAUUAUAUACAAAUCACUUCAUAAUGAGCUCUACAUAUUGUCCUCCCUCACCAUUGUUUUCCCAUGUUUGAAAAAAGCCCAUGAAUGUUUAAUUAGCGUCUCACAGUCAGUUCCAUGUAAUUUCAAACCUCGCCUAAAUAAAGGAAACAUUUGCGAUAUAAGAGGUCAAUCUAAAAAGUAUCUACAAAGUAAAGAUAACAUUUCUAGAACCUGUGCUGAACCAAGUAACAGCAAAGUCUGGUCUUUGUCAAUUUUUUGCAAUUUUUAAUCUAUUUUUUUUUUUUCAUAUUUUGUUAACUACUGAUGGGAGAAGACUUUAUAGAAGAGAAGAGCACUUUUCAUUGAGACGGAGUAAAUCUGGACGACAACACCCAACUCCAGCAGACAUUUGGGGUUGUUUUUUCGUGGUUGCUGUGCUGGUGUAAAGGUGAAGGCAAAGUUGAAGGCUGGGAAAUGGAGAUAUAAGCCCUUUCUUCCAUCAGUCGUCAUGGGAAACUUCAAUUCUCUGCCCAACAAAAACGAUGAGCUGGAGAGAUCGGUGAAGACUGAGAAAGCACACUGUGAGUGCAGUCUCCUGUGUUUUACUGAAACCUGGUUGAACCAAAACAACUCCGACUCCAGUGUGGAUCUACCUUGCUUCACUCUCAUAAGGUCAGCCAGAGAUGCCAAAGCUAGGAGGGAGUCUGGCUUUACUUGCUUACCAGAGAUGGUGUAACUCUUGACUCAUCACUGUCAAGGAAAAGGAUGUGUUGUCCAGAUAUUGAACCGUUGGCAGUUGCCCUUCAGCCAUAUUAUUGCUGCGUUCCUGUUGUACUUGGAAGUUAGGAUUUCUGAGCUCCGAGUCGGAAAUUCACCUGGAACGCCCCACUGAAGUUAGAAAGUCGGACGAUCCUUGCCAACCCCGACUCGACGACAACGUCAUAAUUCAAGAUGGCAACUCAGUGAAUUAACAGUAAUGGGUGACAGUGAAAGCUCUUGUAAUGUAUUAUUUUUUAGCACUUCUGUUUUGUUUUUGUGAAAUAAAAUAAGUGAUAUGUGUUCUACUGCCCAACAUCUAACUGUGAACACGGUGCUAUGGUGUUUGUAGAGUGAAAUACUGUGUUGUGCGUUGUUUACAAUUGGUAUAGCUAACAACAAUUAACAACAGCUUACAAUGGCUAACAACAGCUGACAAUUGUACACAACCGCUAACAACGGCUAACAGUAGGCGUCCAUCUUGGCUUUCUGACUUGUUAACCGGAACGCCGUCAACGUCAUUCCCUGCUCCGACAUCCAACUUCCGAGGUAACUGGAAUGCAGCAUAUCUUCCAAGAGAGUUCAAUCAUAUCAUAUCAUAGAAAUACUUGAAAACAUCCCACCUAAAGCAACGGCUGAAGUUCCGUGUUAUGUUCUCCACAACACUGUUGCUAGGAUACAGACGCAACAUCCUGAGGAAUGUCAUAAUAUCAGGAGACUUCAAGCAUGUCACCCUCUCCUCUCAACCUGACUGGAUUCGACAGGUGGAGAAAGAUGAACACUGAGGAAGGUAGAGGCCAUUCUAACAAUGUAUGUAAUGACUUGAAACUUGGCCCAGUGAUCCUCUUUGACUCUAGAAUAAUCAAUCAAUCAAAAGAGUGUGAUGACAAAAGGUCAGUGGUUUAUGAUGCCAGAUUGUCAAAAAGUUCCAAAAGCAAUGUGAUCGGGGGAUUUCUGUUUUGACAGAACAAAGAGACCAGCAGUUUAUCACUCAUACUCUGGAGCAUGCUUUUAUUUAUCUCACAUAGACCAUGUAAAAACUGACGGAUUGAUCCUUACUUUUAUCAUCUUGACAGGUCUACACCACCCAGCUCCCACGAUGGCCGAACGGAGGUACCAAAUUGACACCUACACUUGUCCCUUACAUUAUUACUGAGCACAUUUCAUGACAUUUUAAAGUGCUUUGAAUUAUUAAAUGUGUUUCCCUCACCUUCGGGGCAUCAUUGAUUUCCAUUCAUUUCUGUUUCCGAGGAAAAUCAACUCGAGACCUGAUUGACUUGCUUGCCCGCUGGCAAUCCAUCACAACGGUAAAAAUAGAAAUCUUUUUCAAUGUCCUUGAAUUUGCAUCAGCACCUUUAUGCAGCGUUACAAUGACGUAAACACGAGAGGGACGUAAUUGACAUUGUGGCUGGUCAAAGCCGAGUGUCAACACAGUAGAUUGAUUUCUCUUUAAGUACUUGAAAUCAGCUAUGACCAGGAAUUUGUGUCAUAGGUACGGCUAUGUUUUUCAUUAUAUUUUAUUGACGAUAAAUGCGGGGAAUAAAGAGAAAGAGGACAUUUUCCAACAGACGCAGAUAAAGCAAGUGCAGUUGCCGCUCAUUACAGGGAAGAUAUCAAGCUGUGAGUCAUAUCUUUCCAUCUUGCUUGGAAGUAAAUGCAUUUAUAGAUCCUCGGUGGCAGAACCAAAUGGCAGUAGGUCUGAUAAAGUCAUUUUUUACACGACAAAGGGCAGCGCACACAAUUGGUUUAUCUAAAAUCCGUGGGACUUUGCUUUUGUAUCAAAAUGUCAUGGGACCAGGAGUCAAUAACUCAGAUUUAAUGACCGAGGGAGAAGUUGUGGUUUCCUUUAAUGAAGCAAGAAAACAGUUUAUCUGGCUAGAUUGACCUUAGGCAAUUACUUUGAGCGCAUUCCUCAAUCAAUAAAGCGCCAGUUCUGGUUCUUUUUUGUUGUGUGUGUGUACGUCAAAGUGUGUGUGUGUGUGUGUGUGCAACAUGGGUGGCUGUGAUCUCUCCAGCUUCUUUUAGUUUGAUAAAACUCAAUAGAUAGACUAGUGUCAGAUUUGUUGCUUUUACGUCUGUUUUAUUUGGUUAGUUUGCCCAUGCACACUUCUACCAUCACCUGAAUGGAUAAAAGGGGUCCACCGACAGGGUUUUUCCUAGCCUCUAGUCACUAAACAUGUUUCUUGUAAGUGUUCUGUAAAACCACUCUGUCAGCUCUGAGCAGCACCUGUCAAACUAAAUGCCCACUGGCUGUUUUAAGAGAGUCCAGAUACAAGUCCCCCCCACCCCUUACAAACAAGCUUUGUGCUGCUGUGGGCCUAGCUGUGGCACAGGGGUAAAAUAAGAAAUCACAUUGCAGAUGAAUAUCAGCACAAUGCCCCUGUCUUCUGUACGCCUGGGUGACCUUGCAAGAUCUAAAUUUCAGAUAAAGUGUGGAGAGGAUGCUCCAAAUUAAAGCUCUGCACAGGAAAUUGAACUGUCAGACAGAUGGAGAGGUAGGAAAAGCCUUUUUGUAAUGUAGUUGAUUUUUAUUCAGAGGGCCUGCUUUUGCAAAUGUCACACUUAAUGGCGGUUAUUCUGGAUGAAAUACUGUAUUUGGAAGCGAGACUAUACAUUUCUGUACCUGGAGUGCUGCUUUCUAGAUGAUUGGUUGUUUUGGGGGCUGCAGAUGUAUGCUGUUUUUAUUGUUAAUAAGAUAUUUGCAUGACAAAGAUGAGUCAAAACCAGACUGGCAUGAACAGGGAUUUGAAGAUGAUGAAGAGUAUGGGUUAAAGAUGCUUUAAACUGCAGAGAAACUGGAACAGGGUAAAAAAAGAUGUCUUGAUUGCUUGGUAUUGUCUUCAUGCCAGGUAGGAAUAGGCUCCACAACCCCUGUGUUGAUGCCCCCUAUCCUUAAUCUACAGAGGUCAGUAUAGAUUCCAUAAUGCAGUCUUGUAAAAAAGUGUGAGAUUCCCAUUCAAGGUGAAGCGGAUUAUUCUAAAACAAUGUAUCACAUGCAAUUAUUAAAUGAUCCUUAAGUAUUGAUCCAGUGGCUGAACUUGGGCUCUUAAAGAUGGAGGAAUCUUGCUGAUGUAGUGCUAAUUUUGCCUCACACUGCACUAUUUACCAGCAUUUCUCAGCAUGGGGUCCUGUGUAUUUGUACCUUCAGUUUGGGCAUUGCAAUGAGCAAGCAUUUCCUCGUCCUCAGCCCCCCUGUUUCACACUAACAGCUUUCCCGUGUUUUGUGGUCUGCUAGCUCGUCAGGUCACACCCAUCUUGUUCGACAGUGCCAGUAAAGUAUGUUUCGAAACCGAGCGAGCACACCGGCAGUGACAGCUUUCACGCUGUGUUUGUAAUUUUCACACAUUGAAAUCAAAAGCUCGAGCCACUUGUCAGGCCGGGAAUGGCUGAUUCAGAUAAACAGCGGGUUGCUACAGAAGUCCUCUCAUCCCAGGUGAAGUGUAUUGAUAAUGGGAAUGGCUGCUUAUUGCUUACCAGACAACUUGGAAAUGACGUGAUUCUCUAACUGUGACUCAGGGACUCGUGUUUGUGACUGUUCUUGAUGAUUUCAUCCACACAGCGAUUUUUAAGGAUCCUUGUCUGUCCUGUUUCUUUUUUUUUUGCAUUACUAUAGUCUAUAAUACACUAUCACCAAAUCAUAAAGGCAUAUGAAAUAGGGCUGAGAGAUAAACUGAAAAUGAAAUUUACGGCAAUAACCAACGUUAUUUUGCCCAUAUUGGUAUAUUCGGUGUCAAAAAAAUGAAUAACUAAAAAUUGGUUUUGAAUGUGUGUAGGUAGGCUAUGGUCUCAUGUCCCUUUAAGACGCUGUCCUAUGUCAGAGAUGUGACUCCACCCUAUCCAGUCCGUAACAAAGAGAAAAAGACAGGUGAGGAGAUGGAGGACAGUUCAAAAGUUGUAGUGGCUGGAGCGGCAGCUGAAGUAGACGAAGUUGAUGUGGGAGGGGGUAAGCAGCUUGUGGAGUAGUUAUCGUCCAUCUAUUGUUAUCGAGGUGAACUGCUCAAUAUAUAUCGUGAUAUUGAUUUGAGGCCAUAUCCCUCAGCCCUAAUAUGAAAGAUAAAAUACAUCAUACAAUUGUCUCUAUGUGUGCGUUUCGGUUUGGUAAGAAUAGCAAGCCAUGUGUUGAAAUCAGCUGGUUCGGCUACCAAAAUAGAAGGGGUGGGAGAAAAGAUCGAUACAGCAUAGUAUUGCAAUAUUUUGUUUUGAAUUUUCAAAUUUAUUGCUAAUAAGAAGUCCAAUCAAUGAUAAUGGAAAAAUUAAAUCAACUGUUUGUCCUGUAAAGUUGACAAAAGUGACAUCAGAGAGCAGAAGAAAGUUGGUAUAACAAGUGUAAGGUUUGCAAGAUAUGUUACAUGAACAUAAAAUACUGUGUAAAUAAAUAAGACUAGCAUAAAUGAAAACCAAAUGCUAAAUUAGCAAAACAGUUGAAAAAAAUAUUGUAAACCACUAUACUGUCUCCCAUUACUCACUGCAUUGCAAAAUGUUAAAAAUUGCAGCAAUGUUGUAUCGUGAACCAACUAUCGUGAUGAUAUCAUAUUGUGGCCCUAGUAUCGUGAUGAUAUCUCAUCACGGCCCAGGUAUCGUGAUAAUAUCGUAUCACGGCACAAGAAUCGCGAUAGUAUUGCAUCUUGGCUCAAGAAUCAUAAUAAAAUCAUAUUGUGGCCCAAGAAUCGUGAUAAUAUUGUAUUGUGAUAAUAUUGAAUCGUGAUAAUAUCGAAUUGUGAUAAUAUCGUAUCGUGAUAAUAUUGUAUCAUGAUAAUAUUGUAUUGUGAUAAUAUCAUAUUGUGAUAAUAUUGUAUCGUGAUAAUAUUGUAUGAUGAUAAUAUUGUAUUGUGAUAAUAUCAUAUUGUGAUAAUAUUGUAUCGUGAUAAUAUUGUAUCGUGGGGCCACUAGUGAUUCCCACCCCUAUAAAAUAGAGAUCUGAUCUGUUCAAAGGCUGAUCAGGGAAAUGACUCUUAGACAGAGAUGAAUGAAAGCGAUGCAGCUCUUAUUGAUGACUUGUGUUUUGGCCAAGUAACAGAAAAGUAUUGGUAGUGGAAUCAAUAAAGGCCUAAAAUGUUGAGAGGGUUCAAUGCUCAUAUCAAUAUCUGUACAAAUUAACACUCCACAUUCUUGGCCUGAUCUAGUCUUGGUCCUGUUCGGUCAAUAGUAGAAAACAUGACCCUGAUGCUCCAUAGACAACCUUCAGUGAGCCCUCACUUGCCCCUUGGCUGGCCGUUUUUAAAUAUUUCACAAUGUGACUCAAAGUUCCUCUUGUGCUUUGGGGAUCCACUCCUCUGAAGUCCCAGAUUGAAAAUUCUCUUUGAAUGGGGGUUCUAGGACCGCCGAUCAUUUCCAAUUCUUGCACGACAUAAAACAGUGGCUUUCUCCAACUUUUCCUUAAACUAGGAAAAAGUUCUACUAGUUAGAAAGAGCUUCUGCAGCACUGUUGUUAUGCACUCAUUGUUACAAAUAGCGCCACGCUACUGUGACACCAGUGCAGCGGCCGUGACCUUACAUCGUCUCUUGAGAUAUGACUUUCAGUCAAAAUAGCCUUUCUCCCAUCUAACUUAAAGUAAUGACUCCAGAGCUUACCAAGACCCAUUUGAGUUCAAUAGUGCAGCUAUUCAUUCAUAUCUGAUCCUCCAGACAGUUGUGGUAUUCUCUUCCCCCACAGGGACUAACCAAGACAAGUCCUAAGCCUUUGACAACACACCGUCUUUAGUAGAUCACACGAGAGCGAACCGCAUAGCCUUGUCUGAGGAGCAAUUUAAGGCAACAAACGGCUGACUGGGUAGAAACUGUUCUUCACCCGCUCCAGGUACUGUUAUACCGAGGUGGGAAUUUCAGCUGAAUAUCUGGCACCCCAUGCUGCUGUUGAGUGCUUUUGCAAUGUUUUUGUUCCCAUUUUCUCUUUCAGGAUAGCUGUUUCUUUUUUUUUGAUGUUCAUGAUCUGUUGUGGUCAAAAUAAAAACAUGAAAAAGGCAGGCUCGUAUAAAGAAUAUCUAAAUAUAAACACGUCAUAAUUUAUCUCUCAGGCAGGUUGUGUCCUCAGUGCCUCUUGGGGAUAGAUUGAAUAAAAAAAAUCUUCAUAAGUGUCGUAUACAUCCCAGUCAGUCGCAGCCCUGGCAGUGUCCUUUGUAUGAGUGAUGACUGAAAUUAGUAUCUAACUAAAUCUGCAAUAAGCUCCUGUAUUAAGAUAGAGCUCCCCCAGGACAAAUGAUGUGCCUGCAUUAAAUUAAGUGAGCCUUCUGAUGCCAUCAUAUCACCCAGAGCAUCUGUGUCUGUGUUUCCAUAAUUAUGCAUGUCCCACUAAGAGAGCUUUAAAAGCAAUCUAUGCCAAUGCUUAUUUAGUCUUCCUGCACAAAUAGUGUCAAUUAAGUGUGCCUCCCAACAGGCCACCUAGACUGUAAGUGGAUUGAUUAACUUGUACAUUUGAAUGCAUUUUUUGAUUGUUUGUCUGAUGUAGUGGAAAUGAAAUUAUAGGCUAAUUCAGUCCUCUGACAUUUCUGCUGGCAGAUGGAAGCUUUCUAGAGGUUGCUUGUUUUCUUCUUCAAUCCUGCCUUCUUUCAGUAUCACCUUGACAUUUGGAGUUGAUCAGAUAAGGCAUUUCUCCCUUUUUUUAAGCCAUAAAACCCCUUUAAAGUAUAUACUUCCAUCUAUGAUAUAUGCUAAUGCUUUUCAGCACUGGGCCUGUGGGCUCCCCAGCUUCUACAUUUUGAAGUCCAAGAUGAGUGAGGUAAAGUUGUGCUGAUUUGAAGGAAAGUAGGCAGUCUAGGAGAACUUAACCUUUCAACUAUCAUGAGAAGUGAAAAAUUAUGUUACUCCACUGAAAAUCCUUUACUCUCUAUAAAACAGCACCAUGUAGCUUGUCUUUGUUUCCUUUGUCAGAUAAUUUUGUUCAGAAAAAAACUCUGAAUUAACUCCAGACAAAGGCUGAAUUUACUCCUCUUGUUUGUCUGCGUUGCACAAUGGGAUAUAUUGCUAAGUUUUAGUGAUUAGAUUUUUCCUAUUUGGGUCUCUUAGCUCAGCAAAGGUUGCUGAGACUAUAGAUUGUCAUGUCCCCCACUAGCACCUAUUAAAGUACAAGAAACCUGUUGUCACUUUCUCUUCCCACAAUUUCUCUCUUGGUUUCUCCCUUCCUAUCUCUCCUAAUUUCUCUUCCCUCUAUGUCUUGGUCACACUCCACUGCACCACUCUCAAACAUUAGGAGCAAUCCAUUGUUAUGCAGGGUGAUUUGACACACGGCUGAUACAAGCUGAUACUUGCCCAACAGUAACUAAAUUGUGUAAGUCUCGAUGCUACCACUUUGAACUACCUAUGGCUUGUUCAAGCUUUUCAUAUGCGAUAGGAAACUUGACAAUGUUGUGAUGUAAACAUAGUGUCACAUAUUGUCAAGUAAUGUUGGUCCUGUAGGUAAAAGACUCUUUCAGUCAUUCAGAUUCAGAUUCUUCAACAGUAUUGACAAUCCAGUUGAUUUACAUGUUGAUUCCCAAAAACUAAAUUGCCUUUGUGAGAAUUGUUUCGUUUCGUUGUAUAAUUCACUUCAAGGUGUUAUAGGGUAUCCGUCUGAAAUCCAAUGAUUUGAAUGUAGGGCCUGAAAGGGAUAUUCCGGCGUGAAAUGAAGUCAGGGUCAAACACACUGUAACACUGAGUUAGACACCCCCUCUCGAGAGAUGAAUGUCGCUGACCGCUUGCUUCUCUAGUUAUACCAAUUUUAGUAAUGGCCGCAUGAUAGCAAUACACAGCGGUCUGAGGAGCCGUAAACAAACCUCAACCAAAACGCCACUCUAUAGCCACAAAUAAUGCUCAGAACAGCACCUUACUUCAUCAACAGUACAUUAAGGGUCCCAGCCAUAACACUAGCCACCAAACAUCUUAUUAACUUUGUCUCAUUUCUUCAGCAAAGAGACUAAACACAACUCACCUACUCUCUUCUAGCAGCCGCUUCUUUGUAGCGAGACCUCGGGCCAGUCCAUUAGGGGACUGCUGCGGGGUGACACAGCUCAAGGAAGAACAUUUAUGCUGAUUUCUUUAUCAUUUCCUUUAAGUAAUAAUCACCAUAUUAACCGUUUUGCACUGCAGACUCGGUAGUUCUUCUGCCUUGGCGUCUUGGUCUGAUUGCAUUUCUAUGCAUCUCUCGAGGGGGUGUCUAACUCAAUGUUACGGUGUGUUUGACCUUUAAUGAAUUUUACGACGAAAUAUCCCUUUAAAUGUCUAAAAUUCUCUUCAAAUCUCUUGAAAUGUCUUAUAUAUGAUUUUGAAAGGUUGCUUACAAAUAAAUAACAUGCCAUAGGAAUAAAGAUAUAAAGUAAUGUAAAAUAUUCCGAUUUUCCUUCAUGUCUUUUGUACUUUUUUGCCAGUAUGGAGGUUAAAUUGCUGCUGCAUUCAUUAUGGUCUAAAAAAACAGUCUUAAAUUUGACUUUGUGAAAACUGCAGAGACCCCGUGUUCAUUGCAUGUAAGGGUUAAGGUCACCUACAGUAGUACAGGAAAGGAAAAUUAGCCAAAAUUACAGGAAGAAUCCUUUAAUUUUAACUUCUCAUCUCCAAAAGUUCCUAAAACAAAAAACAUGCUCUUGAAACAUUAAUAUUAUUUUAACAGAGCUUACAAUAAGGGGAUAAAACUUUGUGACCACAUGGGAAAAACACUCAGUCUUACUUUUUUGGGCUCUGGGCCAUAAGGUCAAAGUUAUUGUUGAAUGCUCACAGGUGAUUUGAACCACCGCAUGUUGCUGCUUUCAGCUUGUUUAUCUCAGAAUGACUUGACAUUUCACAACUUUUACCAUUUUUCUUAUAAAAGUUUCAAGUGAAGGUGUCUGUUAUCCAAUUCCACAUUAUAAAUAAUUCAUCGCAGCGGUUUUCUGGGUAAUUUAUCCGUGAGUUCAGGGUGGCACUGCGCAGACAUUAAAAGGCAAGCAUCCAGCUAUAAUAAGUACAACUUCAUUGGAUUCUAAUUUGUCAUUCUUCCACCAAACGCGACCAUUAGAGCGAAUGGAUGGCUAUUUAAUUGUCUUGCUGUGGCUAUACUUCAGCGCUUUCAAUGACAGCGGUGUCUAAAGCCCCGCUGAGUAACCUCCUCUGCUUUAUUUUGAUGUGAGAUCCACAUUAAAUUUCUCACUUCUUUUUUUUUUCCGCCUCUGUCUUCCUUCUUUCUUGCUCUCUCAGGAUUAUACAAAGGUAUGAAUCGCAUGUAAGGAUUAAUCAUCUCCUUCAGGGACACUUCUCUUUGGCCGGCUCAAAGGAUUUCAGGUGCUGAGCAGUGCUUAUAUAGAGAAGAAGCUUUCUCUUAAGUGUGUUAUUGAUAGUCAGAAAGCUGUUGUUAAAGUGAAUAGAGAUGUGAAAAGCGCGGUAAUCUACAUAGUUUACAGCUGUUUCCAUUUGUGCCGAGUGAUCUUUCAACAUUCAGUUAUAUAUUUUAUAUUUAUUUAGUCAUACGGCUAAUGCGUCAUCUAAAUGCAAUAUCAUGUCUCCAUGGUGUCUGCAAGGAACAAUGGAUGCAAUCAUAAGCCAGCAUGAUAUUAAUUAUUAAAACUCCAUCUUCUGUAUUAGCCUAAUAGUUCUCGUUCAGACCCCGGCACUCUCGUACGCAUGAAGCCAAUGAACAGUUCAUCAAACUGACCGAUCCGGAAAAGGAAACGGCGUUUAGCAGCGUGAUUAAUGGGGUCAAUAUGCUGCUAACGGGGGACACUAAAACAUGUCAUUUUAAUCAUGGCAAUGCUUGUGGGGGAGAUGGGAGCAAAUUAUUUCAUUACCAUUUCCGAGCAUCUCGCCGCAGCCCUCCAUCCCUGCAGCUCUACUUACGCUUGUGUGCUCGGGACAAAGAGUGUCUGUCAUUUCACAUGGCUGUUCCCCCCAGUGAGUAGAGAGGCAUAAUGGCAGAGAGUGUGCGGUGUUUCACUCUGGAAACAGCACACCAUCAGUGUCAGAGCUUGUGAACUUAGCAUUUUUUUAUGUGCUGUCAUGUUUUGUCGAGGGGUUUAGGGACAUAGCUUUGGUUUUUCUGUCUUUUGUACGUGUUGACACAAGUUUCCUGCACAGGGCCCUGAUUAGUCAGGGAGUCCAUGCCUAAUAUAACCGCAUUGGAAAAAUGUUUUUCUUCACAGGCCGCCUGGCAGAAAUGGCAGCUCGUCCAGGCUCUGGUGUGUUUGUCACAAGUAAUUAAUUUUUCUCCUAUAAAAACGCCCACCGGGAUGAUGGAAAAGGUGGGUUCAUUAACCUUCCUCACCCGAGCUUCCUGUGGCACUUUACAAUGCGUUGGGUUGAUGGUUCUUCCAAUCGCCCGUGGCAGAAAAUGUGCAGGAAUGAAACACUUUUUUUACUCCAAGAUGGCUGUUUUUGCUGGGGGAAUAAAAAGGAUUUGCUUGGCAGCUCGGUCCAGAAAUUUUUAAACGCUUUCUACAACAUUUUAACACGUCUAGGUUUUACUUCCUUCCUUCCCAAGACACAUAAGACGACAUUUUGAAACCCCUCUCUCAGCACUCUUCCUCCUAUUCCCCCCUCCUUUCUUUUUCACUCACUGGCAUCAGUUUUUCUCCCCUCCCCAGUGCUUGGGUCGGAUUCUGAAUCGCUUUUUUCACAGUUUAUUUCAAAAUGACAUUUCAUGGAGUUUAAUCUCUAGGGGGGAACAAUGGGUACAUUCCAUCACACAGAGUGAUAUGAAAAGCCCCAGACCCUGUGAAUGGGAAGUGAGAGACAGAAUAAAAUAAAUAAAAGAGUAUCUCCGAGUGACCCAGAAUACUGAUGACAGGAACCACAGUGGCAGGCAACUUUAGCACUGUAGCUCCACACACACUCUCUUCUUUCUGCGACUCUCCAUCUCCUCUCUCACUUCCCCCCUCUUGAUUGUCAGUCAAAGCACUCGCAGCCUACACACUUGAAUGAGCUGAAAUAUUCACAGAUAUUAUCCACUAGACUGAAUUGAGCUUGUUAGGAGGGGAGGGAGAGGCAUCUGUGGGCCCUCCCAUAGUGCCGGCAUGUAUAGAUCAAUGCCGGCGGGGGAUCUUGACAGCUCAACUCGCUUUUAGGGGAAGGAAAUUGACUUGAUCUCGCCCUGGCAGCUAAUGCGGUGAUGAGUUGCAACAAGUGUGUCUUCAUGUAGACACCUGAUCUAUUAUACUCCUUUAUUUAUUCACAUUACAAACCAUUUCUAUGUGGCGUUUUCCUUGUGAUUGUUUGAAUUGCUCACAUUUAGGAGUUUAACACAACUGUUGGCUUAAGGCAGUAUAUUCCCACAAAUGUGAGCGCUAGAAUGAUAAUAGAUAUUCCGGUUAAUUUUUUUUUUUACCACAUCCAGGAGCUGGAUUCAAUAUAAUUAAGCCAGCAUGGGGUGUAGCUGUUAAAAUAGAUUGCUUGGCCACCUCUGAAGCUGCAGGUCUUGAGGUAAUAAAACUGAUGGCUUUAGAGCUUCAUGCUUAAUUUGCUCUUGAUUUGUUUCAUCUAUUGGAAUGACUGAGGAGCUCUGUAUGAACGCGUAAUUGUGAAUGAGGCAGCAUCACAUUUCUGGUGCGACAGUUAGCAGAUGACCUUAUUUGAAUACACUAUCUUCCUUUGUUUAAUUUGUAAGUUUAUGGCGUAGUGUUACAAGGGUGCAUCUUUUUAUAUAUUUGUCCUGUAUAAAUGCAAAUCUUUAUUUCUGCACGUCCUUCUGCAGAAACCUUCCUAACAAGGCUCCACCUGAUGGCACACUAACAGAAGCAGAAGGCUUGUUCUUGGCUCCCAGACUUAGAAAUGCGUAUUUGAAGGUGCUGUAUUAAGUCCCAGCAUCCUUCCUGCUGCUCCAGCUUGGCGCCACUUACAGUCAUUUAUCUUCACAGUCAUCACCUGCAUCAUUCACAGUCAUCCCACCGCCCCCAAUCCUCAAGGGUGUUGAGGGAGACUCGCAAAGAUAUUCCGGACGCACCAUGAGUGGCACCAUUAUCUCAGCCCAGUAAUGGAUUACCUCGAUGGUCAGCCUGUCAUGGUCAAUGUUUGCCCUGACAUUUCAUGUAAAGUUCCCUUCCCCCGAUGAAAUAUCAUAUUGUGGUGGCCAGGCGGUGGUUGUUCUGCCAAAUUGGUUGUCACAGUGCUGGCAGUGUGAUACCCUCUGUGUCCCUUUCUUACUCUUUUUGCCUGUUGGUCUUUUUUAUCUGGCUGGUUUGUACUCAGGAGCUACAUUUUUUUUUCUUUUUGCUCUUUUGAAGCUGAAAGGAUGAUAGUAUAGGAACCAGUGUAAGGAAAAAUGGAAGGUAUGUCUGACAAAAACACUUGAGGAGCAGAACCUGGCUCUUCACAUUGUGGUCUGAGGCUGGCACAAAAAAUCUCUAUAUAUUUUAUAUAUAUGUACUAUAUAUAUUUAACAGUUCAUAUAUUGUAAUUCUGUCUGGUUAGAAGGGAAGGGCAAUCAUGAUUAGUUUUGCCAUCCUGGCAAUAACAAUAAAAGUCCUGAUAAAAAAUAUUAUAAUUCCAAAUUAUAUUUUUGACUCGUUUUGUCUUGAGCGCACCAGUUGGAGUAGUCAAAUAAGAUACUUAAAGGAAUAUUCUGGUGUAAAGUUAAUUUAGGGUCAAACACACUGUAACACUGAGUUAGACGCCCCAUCGAGAGAUGAAUGUUGCAGACCGCUUGCUUCUCUAGUUAUACCAACCCAAGUAACGACAGCAGGAUAGCGAUACACAGCGGUCUGAGGAGCCAUAAACAAACCUCAACCAAAACGCCACUCUAUAGCCACAAAUAAUGUUCAGAAAUGUCUUCUUCAUCACCUUCAGCCAUGUUUGUUUGUUAUUCUGCUCUGUGUGGGCUAUGGCUGCGAGUCCGUUGCUCGCGCUUACGUCAUCAACUUGCAUUUAUCAUUAAUUUUUUAUGAGAUGGCAAAUAUUUAUCAUGGAGGAUUUUUCUGACGAUAUAUCGUGAACAAUAUCACAAUAAAUAUAUAACAAUAAAUAUAACAAUUUAUCGCCCAUCCCUACUGGUUCAGGCUACUUUGCAUCUUGAUUGGAGAUGUACACAAUUAGUCAACUAAAGGAGGACAAUCAAGCACAUAAUAGUAGGAAACCAAUUAAGCUAAUGCGCAAUUUACUCAACAGAGCUUAACACUGUCUACACGCAUAUUUUACUUUAGCUUGUUUUUGAAACACAGGUAAAACAUGGCACGUUCUCAUGUUCUCACUUCAUAAAGCAAACACAAAGUUACUCUUGAUCAGCUUGUCAGUAUCUUUCACAUUAAUUCCCUUCCUUCCUCUGGUACUAGAGUAACCAUUUUACUGCCUUUCUCUGACAGAAGUUUCAAGUUUUUUUUUUUUUUUAAUUAAUUUUUUAAAUGAAUAGAGAGAGUUUUUUUUUUCUGCUGCUGCUCAGGUCCUACUCUUCUCUCUGUGCUGCUAUGCUGAGGUAACCUCUUUUUUCAGCACAGUUUAAGAUUUCAUUCUUUGAGCAAACCUCCUGUUUACCCUUUUUUUAUUUCUGCCUAUAGACAGCAUCAUCUCCCAUAAAGCCGUUGUGCUGCUCAUACUUGGGAAAAACCACCACAGGCAAAAUGAGUCUGACAUUGGCCCACAGUACAGGCAAUGGAGGGUGACAUAUCCAAUAUCCAGAGAGUGGCAGGGCUAAAUAUUUUUGUCAGGCCAGCGGCUUUACAGUGAAGAGAUGUGGAUGAAGGGUUCAUUUGGGUCUGGAUUUGAACAUGGCAUUUGAGAAAGUCUGACUCCUGGUGAAUGCUUCUGUUUGGUUUAACCUUGUUCUGUGCAAUCACAAAGCACAAGAGGACAAAUGUGGAAAAAAAAUAAAUAACCCACGGAGAGUGUUGAUUACUUUUUCCAAAGUUUAUGAAGUGGGUUUGUAAUUUAAAAGGAAACUUCAAUCAGUUUGACAUCUUUUAGUAUUGAUUGACUAUCAGCAGGGAUGUUUCAGAGUAGCAUAAUGACUCAUGCCAUGUAGAGUAUUCAGCCAAAACAUGGUACAAAAAAAUAACCAAUUUAAAAGACAGUUCAAAACAUGCUUUCGGACAUGGAGCAUAUUUAGUAAGGCUGCUCUGGUUCAGUUGACACUUCAAAAAUUAAAAAUGUUUUUGCCCCCCAAAUGUUUGAUCUCAGCUGGAUUUCCGUUUUGGCAUCUGAACUGGUAGCCGAUUAGAACCAGAAGUGGAGGAUCUGAACUGGAAUGAGAGUCAAUAAAAAAUGCAAAAAUGUCGAAAGUUUGCCAAGUUUUAAAGGCCUGCUGAUGGAAAAAGAUGACCACACUGCGACGUCUUUUUUGAACAACAACUUAGAGUACACUCUAAAGGUCCUUACACCCCGGGAACGACGCAAAUAUACGACGCAAAAUUACAAAAUAUUCGGAGGCGAAUUUUGACGUGCCCGAUAAAGCACAUCAAUUGCAAUGCGAUUUUGUAACUUUCCGGGGGAAAAAAAGACGCGUCCCAGGUGGAAGCGAGAAGACUGACACAACACCAGACUGACUGUUUUUCAGUUCUGAUUAGACACUAGUGUUGAGAUGACUGUCUGUCAUGAUAGCAUGUACUGAGUCAGGGCCAGAUAAACACAUUAAACUAUAAUCCAUAAACGUAAGGUAACAACAGAGACCUAAUGGUGCUGUGACAGCAACGUGAUUGAGUUUGAAACAGUGAAAAUACAUAUGGUAUGUUGUAUCUGAACAGGUUAACUUACGAGCUAAAGUUACUUAGCACAGAUGAAAGUUAAAAUACAGACGUGUAGCAAACUGUUAAAGCACACAAACUAUCAUCGUAUGAGAGAUCAGAUCCGGUGAAUCUGACGUCGCAACAACACAGAAUCUGAUUGGUCAGAAGUUGACAGACAUUAUGCGAAACUUUAGAAAAUUCGACCGUGAUACGAAAAAAUAAAUGCUGCGAUAUAGCAGGACGGGACCACGUCGCUUAUGUGAACGCUUGUAUUGACAGGGUAUAGUUCUAAAAAUGACACAUAGGUUUGGAUAUAUGCAAAUAUCUAUAUUUGGACCUCAUCCAAAAUGCUCCCCCUACACACACACACACACACACACACACACACACACACACACACACACACACACACACCUACACCUCUAACUCGCGCAAGCAAUUAAAGGUCGUGACUCUUGUCCUCAUAUAGACAGGCUUCAUUCAGUAAUUGAAGCCAUGAUGAUAUGCUAAUUCUAGCUUACACAGCUUCCAUGUAACUUAAUCUCGCUCAGCAUUUUUCCGUCUACCGUGUCUGCCCAAAAUCCGAAGACUUUCCAAACGCAGCCUCUAAAGUUCGUUGGAGUCUAGACCACUCUCUCAGAGUAUGGCUCUGAACAUCCCUCCAUCUCUCCCUGCAUGUGCCACAGACGUUUUUUGUUGUCAAGCCUCACUGCAGGUGCAGCUCCUGUGACCUGUCCCUGACUCGCAAAGCAGCCACAGUUUUUUUUUUUUUUUUGUCUUUUUCCCAUCACUUGCUUUUUUUUUACUGCUGUUUAUUUAACAUUUGAAUAUUAAUUUUCUCAUUCAAAUCUCUCUUUUUUUAUAUAUUUGGAUAUAUAUUCAAAUUUAGAAUAUUCGUUGACAGCCCUGGUAGUCUCUGAACUUUGUAUGAAGAACAGUCCAUAUCCUGUGGGAAAUUGGACAGCAUCAUUACUCAUUAUUAGAAACCCAUUUUCUUGCCAGGACUACACUGCCAGAGGAGGCUUAUUAACAGGAUGGAAUCCCUACAGGAUUUGGUGAGUCAUGUGAAUUUAGCAUUCAUGGUAAUAGCCUAAUGAUUUGUUGAAUAUCAAGUUGUCUUGGUCAGCAUCAGUCCACACCUGCUCUAUCAAUUCAACCAGGGCUUGUAACAUAGUGGUUUUAGCCCGCUCAGGCCGCCUGCUCUUACACUGAGCCACGGGUCAGUGUCCUGCUGGGAUAACAGCCUGGGGAGUGUGUCACAGUGCAGGAAAUAACCUGGGCAAAUCGAUGGACUGUUUUUUGAAAUGCCAAUCAGACUUUGAACAGAGAGCAAUUUGGAUCAGCCUCAGCUGUCUGCACUCGGAGGUGUGCAUCCAAGGUCAAAGCUUUUAGACAUCCAUUGUCACCCGCAGCCUUCCAGCUCGAGAGUUUAGAUAAAAAUAUGUCAAGAAGCAAACCUUGUAAGAGUGUCUAAUGGAAGGAAAAAGUUACGACUUUGACCCUUUGCUCUAUAUUUUUCUGAGAGUUUACUUGUCUGUCAACACCUCUUUUAUACGUUUGCAUUAGAAGAUACAAUCUCAUGAAUAGAAGGGUGCAGAUCUAUUAAAAAAAAAAAAAAAAUGAGUGCUCAAAUCUGAUCUUGAGACAUAGUAAGAUUUUUUUCCUCCCUAGAUGUUGCAAUGCUUAUCUCUUCUUUUGCUGGUGCAGUACAGUCAGAGCUGUGGUGCAUUGCAGAUGUGCCAUAUAUUUACAAGACAGGGAUGACUUAUCUUAACAUUUAAAGUUGCCAGUACACUGUGAGCAAAGUACAGUCCUGUAAAGUGUAGGGAAAACGCCUUGCAUGCAGAUGCUGCUCCAAACGGUGUCCUCAAGGGCCGCUCUUUAUUAAGAAACUGAUGCAGCGCGUGCGAACGUCCUGCAGCUAGUUUAUCCACCUUGUAUCGACUCUUCCCCCUCAUGCAGUGAGGUGAAUCACACCAGCUUCUUGUUUUCAAAUAAAGCAUGAAAAGAUACAAGUCAAUUUCCUGUAUUCACUGCUCCUGCUCAAGGCUGUAACAUCACACUGAGAUCAAUUUGUAACAUUUGUGUUUGUGUUAGCCUGGCCAUAUUGUAUAAUGAGCAGGUUGGAGUAUGCAGCGGAUGUGUCACAUUUCUAAGAGCUUAUUUGCAGUCCUGCUUCUCUGAGUCGCCUCUUUUUCACACGUGUGGCACCUGAAAAAACGCAGGUUCACAGAUCCCAGUAAGACAGAAUUUUCUGGCAAUCACACAUCCAGCUCCCGUACGGAAAAAAUCCUGUCUAUUCACACCUGAAAUCACAUGUUUGGUGAAGAUAAGUCGUUUUUCUACCCACCCAAACAUCAGCAACUGCUCAAAAGAAUUACUUCAAGUUGACAGCUUUUGCCACAAAAGAUAAAGCUGGAUUUUUGCCAUACAGUUCUGGCUGUAUAAAGGCGGAUUUUUGAACAUUAAAUUGCUGGUGCACAAAUAGCUAUUCUCAGGGUUUGAACAUAGAUUUUAAGCACUGAGAGGGAGAAGCUUGUGCAAACAUCAGCUCCCCGUACACUAUUAAAACACUCCAAACUUUUUUUUCCAUUUCACAGCAUCAAAUAAGGUAAGAUGACAUUUUACCUCUGAGCUAAUAAUCUGAUUAUACUCAACAUUAAAUUUUAAAAGUCAAAAAAAUGUUAUUGGUCAAUUUGUUCCUAUCGUCUUUUAUGCAAAAACACUUUUUUUUCGUGUUUAUCCUUUAGACCAGUGGUUCUCAAGUCCAGUUCUGUCCUGCAUGUUUUGGAUGUUUCCCUGCUCCAACACACCUGAUUCAAAUGAUCAGCUCGUUAUCAAGCUCUGUAAUGGCUUAAUAACGAGCUGAUCAUUUGAAUCAGGUGUGUUGGAGCAGGGAAACAUCCAAAACAUGCAGGACAGUGGGCCUCGAGGACUGGACUUGAGAACCACUGCUUUAGACGUUUGGGCUUGAUGCUUUGGACGUUAAGUUGUGAAGACAUAGGUUGCAAUUUCAUAAGUAAAUAUUUCAGAUUUUAAUCUCACAAAAAACAUGAAUGGAGAGAUCCCUUACACUUGUAAAUAAAAAAAUAAAAAAAAGUUUUUAUUUUAUUUUAUUUUUUUUAUUAGGAAUACUUUUUUGCUUUCCUGAAACUCUAGGUACACAGUUUGAAGCGAACACACUUUAAAGACCAUAUUUCUUUUGUUUUUCACAGAAUUUUCACUUUCGAUGGACUCAGUCAUGUAACCUAAAUGGAGGCUAAACAAAAAUCUUCAAACAGCUGCUAAACAAGUCAAAUCAAAUCAAACACCCUGAACUGAUGUGAGCUAAAUCUAAAUAUCCAGAUUUCACCCUCAAAUUCGUUUUUCCUCUACAACUCAAAAUUAGUUUUUUUUCCCCCCUCAAAUUAUGUGGGGUUCAUUUAACCUUUUCCAUAGAUCGAAAUCAAAUCAAAGAUUAUCACAUUUGUUUCACUUGGUCUUCGGGCUUUUUUAUAAUGCAGCAGUUGUUGAAAAAUUGAUUGAUAUUAAAAGCAUUUUUGUAUACCACAAAAAAGAUGCUUCUUUAUUGGAUUCCUGCCUACCUUUUAAAAGGAUUUAAUGACAAUAAGAAUUCCUAAUUUUUAAACAUUUUUCUUGAAAUAUUUAAAGUUCAGUGACUUUCUGAACAAAGAGUAGAAUAUCACCCCGGUCUCACUUUCUAAAACCAUAAAACCCAGGCUAACAGGGUCAUAUGACUGCUGUUAUUACCGACAAUAAAACAUGUCCAUUUGUGUCUCAGUCAGUCUGCUCACUGUGGCAACCUGACCCACUAUUACCUCCUAUCAGCCAUUUAUUUUCAUGGAAUCAGCAACAUUUGGCAAAGCACACUACUCCCCGAAUGAAAAGAUUUAUUCACUUUGAAGGCUUUACAGUGGGAGAAUUAAUGCUAAUUUCAAAGUUGGGUACAAAAUAAGAGCAGAUUGAACAUCAUCCGAAUAGCCUCUUUUUUAAAUCAUCUAUUGUUGUGAGUUCUUUUAACACUGAAUAACGAGAAGCCCAAAUGUAUUUUCUCAGUGUCAUUGAUCAGACAAUCCCUUUUUCUUUCCUCAACGCAGCAUCCCAUCUCCCGAGCCCGAGACUGCUAUUUUUAUCAGUUUUGGUAGCAUAAUUAGAUAUUGAACCAAAGCACUCGCACAAUAGAUGAAAAUAAACGGCAGAAGAGGAAAAAGAUAGAUACUAACAAGUCGAUUUGUGAUGUGUCCUGGCCCAAUAGAGGACUACAUUUCCAUAACAUUUCCAUUCCUCGGCGUGCCCCCUGUAUAUUUGCAUUAUUCGACACUAUUCUUUAUCUCUCUUUGCGAGCGAUGUCAUUUCCUCAUUGACCCGCGAUGACAGCUGCAUGGCAAAAACUGCUUUAUUAUACCAAGAAGAGUUUUAUUACAAGAAAAUAUCUCUUUGAUUCAUCAGGUUUACGCAUCAAUCAGGCCUGUUUUUGUCAUGUGUAUAGAUAGUAUCGCCAUCCUGUGAAAAUAAUUACAUCUCCCAGACUAGGACUGCCUUUGAGUGCCAAUGUAGUAUCCUUUUUCCUUGUAUGUGCUCCAAUGCGGGCUUCAACCUUAAAAAAAAACAUCCAAUGACCCCAUCAUCCUUUCCCAUGUAUAAGAUCUUUACAAAACAGCAAAAGAGGUUUCUGUUAUCUCUUUAAGUUUCAAUGAAGUCUAAGCACACUGCAGGGACAAAGUGCCUUCCCCCUAAUUGUUUUGGUUGGAGGUAAUCAAUACGCAAUCAGCUGCGAUUUUUAUUUUGCCUUGUAAAGAAACCAUUUGCUAGCACUAUCGCAUUGUUGGCAAUGUCACAGAGGUGGAUAUAACGGGUACAUUCAGCACAAAAUAAUGCCACCCGGGGACGAAAAGCCCGGCAAUAAAGACAACCUUUAUUCAGCUCAGAACACACUGAACACACUGUCAUUGAGGUGUUGAUUCACCUCUGUCGUCUUUGCUAAGGCUUCAUGUUGUGCAUGAUGUGUUGUUGAAGAAUGAAAGCUGGUACAAACCCUGACGAAUGGAGUGAGUUGAAUUCAAAGCUCUGAUCUGAAGUGCAGCCUUAAAACUAUGUUGAUUUAAAUCAAAGCCUGUCCAACUCAGUCAAAUUUGAAACACCAGUACACUGAGUACUACAUUACAGGGCUUUUGGCUGUUUUGGAUGUUCUGUACUCAGCACUGCUGUGUGUUUUUUUUCCGUCUUAAGUGGAUUGACACUCAUGCUGUACAUUCUCCUUCGGUGCAUGUAAUAAUAGGUUUUAUUCCUCAAUGCCAGUCACGGCUGGAGAUGAAAGCAUUACUUUCCCAAGUGGUUGGUGUGCCUCUCUUAUUCUUGUGAACUCAAUAUCCGAGAAGUAGGGUUGGUUGAUCAGUUGGUACAUGAGCUCUUGUCAGUCAAUCACACGUGUCACUGUCAUGGGGAAGAAAAGCUCAGUUCAUUAUUUGUAUUAUGAAAUUUUCUGUGGUCUUUUAAUUGUGAUUAUGAAGUUUUUAGCCAAAAUCGUCUUACCUGUGUCAUUUUUAAGUGCUUUUCUUCUGCAGAGCUCCAGUAGAUCAUUAGCAAUUCGCCACUGAGUCGUGGGCGGAGACAGCGCUGCUCUGCACACUUCUCUUCAUGCUAGCUUGCAGUCUAACAUUGCCGGUGUAGUAGAAAUGGCUGGUAACGUAGGAGCUGUUCAGCUCUAGGACACUAACAUCUUUCGGGACAUGAUGAAAGCUAAUAUGACAGUUAGCUUUCUUACGAGCAUUGCAAUCCGCUAUGCAUUCAUGUAAGGCAGCCCGGGCCCGGAGUACGUGCUAGCAAAAAAAUGAACCAAUCAAUGCUUAAUGCGCCUUACAAUCUGAUGCACCUUAUGUGUAAACAUAGACAUGUUAAUUCCCAGUGCGCCGCUAGCAACAAUAAACCAAUCAAUGCUUAAUGCGCCUUGCAAUCCGUUGUGCCUUAUGUGUGAACGUAGACACGUUAAUUCCUAGUGCGCUUUAUAUUCCUGUGCCUUAUCGCCCUAAAAAUACAGUAAAUGUUAAAUGUUAAAUUAACUAAAAAAUAUAUAUGUUUUAUCUGAUUACUAGAUGAAUCGAUGGAAUAUUCGGUGAAAUACUUGAUUACUAAAAUAUUCUAUAGCUGCAGCCCUCAAUUGUAAUGUCUCCUCAUUUCCUUUGCCUCUAUCAACACCCUUGUUCUGUUUGACUCAGUGUAGGAAACACUGGUGGAUGAAGCUGCAGCUUGACUGUAGUUGAGGCAGUGAUUCUUGUUUGCGGUGUUAAUCAAAGAGUAAGACUUUCUUCUGCUGCCUCCCUGCAGCAGGAGGGAUGAUUUGAAAGGCUGAGGCUGGUUUAUGAAUGAGACAUCAGCAGGCAAAGUGUUGCUGUCAAACUGAUUUUUUCUAAUGCAGUCUAGUCAGAGUUCUCUGGUCUCUAACUCAAACUGGCUGCAUAUAAUACAAUACAAGAUUUGACAGACUGUGAAAAAUGCAAUUUUGAUGAGAUGACAUUAUGCUGAUAAUAUAUUUAAUGAAAACAUUUUGAUGAUACCUGAAUAAUCUUUUUGCAAGUUAAAGUUGUGAAAAAAUAAAUCUGGGCCCACUAAUUGGGUUCCUGGUCGUCCUUUGAAUUCUAACCAUCAGAGAAAUAUUAAAUUAGCUACCAGGAACUCACAGUCCUCUGUCAUUUUGGUCUCAAAUUUGAAACAUCUGAGAGUUCCUCAGUCCUGUUAUCAUCUAAUUCAUGAAGAUGAUAUCUCCAAAUUAGAUGGUCUCUGACAGAGAGAUGGGCACUUCUUCUAUCUAUGAAAUCUCAGAUUCAGGGUUGAAGAUUACCGUUUUCUCUACUGGCGGUUCAGUCCAGCCAGUUCGGAAGGCUGCAACUUCUUUCAUAAGACUUUUAGAAAUACUAUUUAAAGGUGUAGUGUGUGCUAUUUGGCAGUAUUCAGUAGAUCAGAUUUAAUGAAAAGGGUGGAAAUUGAAAAUCUCACUGGCAGAUAUGGCUAAAUUUUCUCUUUCCUUUUCUAAAUGUCCUACGCAUUGUACCUUUUUAAACAGUUGUCUAUCCUUGUAUUUUUCUUUGGUUCUUCUGUUUAUCUAUAUCCCUAGAUUUACAGGUCAUACCUUAUCUGCUGGACCAGUAUGUUUCCUUUGUGAACUUCUGAUCUUACAACAAAGAACUCUUGUUUCCAAAAGAGGAUUAUUACAUUUGGUUUGGUUUGGUUUUUGAACCAAAAGGAAAUGAGCAGCAAUGGUUCAGUGAGAAUACUGUCCACAGUUGGCUUAAUUUCCACUUUUUUAUUUUGAGGGUGAAUUCAUGGCUCAGGCAGCUUGAUUUCAAGCCGUUGCCGGGGCCUCCUCCUCCUACCCUAUGUGUUCACUUACUUCAUCACUUUUUUUUUCUGCUUUUCUUGUUUGAUAAAAAAUAAAAUUGGCCUCUCAAACUCCUCUGCAGCUACUUUUAACAGAUUGAGUCUAAGGCUUACUCACAGUGCAAGAUUUCAAGGGCCAUCCAUCAGUCUGAUUGAUGCCAAAAUCUUUGUGACUCUCCAGAUAAUGACCUGUGGAAUGGUUGAACAUGGCACAUUACUGGAAGGAGGAUUUGUUUAUGGGGUUUAAGUUUAGGAUGAAAUGCUCAUUAAGAAAAGAACAUCAAACUUCAUCAAUUACCAGUUGAGGAAAAUAUUUCCCUCGUAGAACAGAUGGGGACUGUUUUGACUUUUCAGCCUAAAACUGGUUUCCGCAUUGUUUACAAUUUGUGUAAUGAUUUUAUUGGCAACUGUUGCUCCCACCAAAAGCAAAGUGUAACUUUUCCCUUGCAAGUAUUUAUUUAUAAUAAUAAUAAUAAUAAUAAUAAUAAUAAUAAUAAUAAUAUUUUAAUUCAUUUAUUUUUUGCUAUAUUUUUAUUGACAUUUUUCAUUUUAAAACAAUACAAAAAAAUGAGUCAUUAGGGAAAUACUAUGCAGUACGUUUUUCAUUUUUUCAAUAAGGUUAAAUUGGGUUGCUUUUUACAGUGUCACGGUUUUAACAUAAGGGUCCGUCAAAUAUUCCAAAUAGAUGUGCGUCAAAAGCAUGAUCUUUACAAAAUAUUUACAGGUAGAUCAAUCAUUGUACUAAAGUUAGUCACUAAAAAGACAUGAGGCUCAGAAAAAAUUCCUUAUAAAUGUUGUUAUACAGAUGACAGUACAUACCAGCGAUAUACUUUCAUACAUUUAUAUUCUGAAAUAUCAUCCAUUUUGACCAAUACUGACUGAACUUAUCUAAACAAAGUCUUAAUGAAAAGGUCAGCCUCUCCAUAUCGUACAAUUUCUUUACAAUCAUCAUCCGUUCUGCUUUUUAUGGGUUCCCUAAGGCUUGUUGAUGACUUGCAAAUGGAAACCAGAGCACUUCUUAAAGAUUGUAAAACUGUGUGUAGACAAUUUGAUUUGAAUGGACUUUUCAACUGUUGAAAGUAUAAUAUGAAUACACAGAGUUGUCACAGUGUAAGGCUGCGAGUAAAGCUUUAUAUUUUAAUCCUGUCUGAAGGUAUUCAUAACAAAUCCUCCUAUACAGUGAAUUUGUUCAUCUUAAUGUCAGAUUCCCUGAGAUUGGCUUUAAGGUACGUCAGUAUCCACUUAGAGUUUUGAGCUGGAGCUUGUCAUAUUUAUUGAGCUUGUCUUGUUCAGCUCCAGCCUAUUUAACACAAAAAAACUCAGUGUACACAUAUAAUACAGGCAUGUACAAUUUGACAUUGAGGCAUAGCUUGUGUUUCCAUUAGGGACACAGAUAAGAAGCAGAAGUACUCAUUAGUGCUGCUUUUAUCUACCCUUUUUUUUUUUUUUUGGUGCUAAUGUUGGGCUGUCUCUACUGUGCUUUGAAAACGUGUUACAUUUGGGAAAUGUUGCCUCGAGUUAAAAGCGUUGGAACAAUGUGAUAGAUGAUAGCACUCGCUCCUUUUUUGAAAGUCUUCUUCAAAGCACAGGUCUGAGCCAGUUAACCUAUGGCUGGCGAGUCCAUCACCAAAUGAUUUGUAAAUGAGUUGUCUUUGAAAAAACUUAAAACACUGUUAUAUUCUACCAAAAGGGUCAAUUGUUAGGGGACUGACUGUUUUGAUUUUUGACAGCGGGAAGAAACUUGCAUUUACUGAAUAGAUGUUACAUGAAUAAUAGAGUGGCUGUCCUUGCUCAGGGUGUCAAGAUUACCUGUGCAAAAAUAUUGAUGCAUCCAAGGGAGGUGUUGUUAACUCUCUUAUUAGUCGUAACUGCACCUAAGUACAAAAGCUGUGUUAACACUCUUUCAGCCUGAUGAUAAUACUCACUAAUACAAGUCAGCUCUUCAUCUAGCCAAGCUGAUGGAGCAGCAUAACUACUGCAGAUGAUAACCACUGCUGACUUUGGCCACAUCAGGAUUCUGGCAGAAAGCUGUCUUGGCACUCUCGUUCCAGCACUUCUCGAUGCCAACAUGGUAGCAGGUGCCACACCUGGCUCUGGACUGGUUGCCCAUUUAUCACAGGCUGUCCACCUGCUCAAAGAGAAGGACAAAAACAUUCUCUUUACCUCUCUGAUUUGGUUGGGUCAGUUUUCCAAACACUGUAAUCCCUGUUGCUGCCGACACCCAGCGUUGGCCCAGGGAGGGUGUCAGCAGCCAUGUGCAUCCACUGUGAAACACAAAGACACUAGCUGAGUUAUUACAGCUGUUAGCUGGAUAGCAUAAUAUCCUCUUAAAUCAAUGCAACCUUAGCGAUUUGUUUUAGAUGUCCUGACAAACCAGCAGAGACUACUUCUGUAGUAGCAACGAUGUAAUCCCUCACCAGAUUUCCAUCCUAGUACAAAGGAAGUUCAUUGGAUUAUACCAAUGGAAACUUGAGUUGCUGUGGUGUUGAACUUGUACAACAUUACAAUUUCUGUGCAUUCCUUAAGAUUUAGCUUGGGGUGACCAUGUCAACAUGGAUGUAGGGAUGCACCGAUCCGAUAUUUGAUAACGGUAUCGAUCCCGAUACUGAAGAAAAUUCUAAAUCUGGUAUUGUGACAAUGGGCCCAUCUAGUCUAACUCUAUGCUAUGGGCUGUGAGUGGCAUCCACAAGUAUACACGGUGAGCGGAUGCCCACAUUGUUUUCAAAAUGGAGCGAGCAAAGGGGUCUGCUAUCUUGAACUUUAUCACAAUACCUGAACCUACAAGCUUGACGGCCACUUGCAAUACCUGCGCAAUAAAUGUUCCGAGGGGCAGUGGUAAAACUUCAGGUUACAACAAAACAAAAGGUAAUUCAGCGCGGCUUUUCUGUAAGGGAAUUGGAUCGGUAUCAGCCGAUACUUAACUGUAGAUAUCUGCAUCGUAUCAGAGGUGAAAACAGCAGAUCAGUGCGUCCCUACAUGGAUGGCAAAGUUUUGAUUAGGUGUGCUUGUUAGCAACACACUACAAGUUUUUAGCAAGCUGCAAGUUUCUGUGUGCGAAGUUUAAAUGUGCAAGAUGAUUGUCUCUUAAAAAUUAGGGGUGUCCUGGUACAACUUUUUACCUCCGAUAUAAAACCGAUAAUGUAGCCUUCAGUAUUGGCCGAUACCGUAUUAAUCAGAUAUUGGCACAAACUUGUGCAUGACAAGUUUUGCACUCAACUGCGACAUCUUUUUCGGACUUUGACGAAAAAUACUGCCACACAGCCGACCUCACUACUACUCCUUGCUACCUUUACUGUUGUUGUGAUAACAUGGGCUUUGUGUGCCAGAGUGGAGUGUGGAAUGGACUGCUUUUAUCGGAGUGCUGAUAUCAGUGAUUUUAGAUGCAGGCCGAUAUAAUCAGAUAUUUGUUUUUUGAUCAAUAUCACAUCCCUAUUAAUAAGUGAGUAAAAAGACUGGUCCAUGAUGCCAGCAUGUUAAACUUCACCUCUGCUGACUCUGCAAACUGCUUCUGAUCAAUCAAGGAUAGCUCGAGUUUUACAAAAUGUGUCCACACUUUGAACCUUGACAGUUACCUAAGGCCUCCUCAAUAGAGCAAGAUCAGGAAUUGAAACAAGUCUUUUCCCCCUAUGGUCAAUCAUGUGUGUUUCCUCACAAAAUGUUUUUUCUUUUUUACUUGAGUUUAAAAAAUUUGGCAUUAAACUGAUUGAGCAGAUCUCCUGUUUGAACCUAAUGGCCCUUUGAGUCCCCCUUUCAAGGUGUUGUUUUUCUCACACCAUGUUUCACUGCAGUCGUUGCAGUGGUGAUGUCAAAAUAGACACCAACAAUAUAAAAAAAAAAAACAAGUGUUAUUCUGCCUGUGCACGGGCUGUGUGGGCUGUGCUGGCUGAAGUCAAAAACAAACACAAUUGUACCCAUGGCCAGCAGUCAGGAAGAGGCAGCAGCAUCUGUCGAGGAAGGCUGUUAUUUGUUUUUCCUCAACUUUCUGGGUUCCUUUUCCCCAGGACAACUCUCCACCUGCUAGGACUAAACAUUAGGCAGAAUGGAAAGCCACAAUGCCAGCUGUGACCCUAUAGGGGUGUGUGAUGUUUAUCCCUGACUGGUGUCCAUUGGAUAUCUAGUCUACACUGACGGACAUGGUUAACACAGACUUGUGUGUUUACUUCACACCUCGACAAGGACAUCGGCUUGUUAGGUAGUUAGCACAGCCUCUCAAGGGGACUUCAGUGGUGUUAGAUCCAAUUUUCUUUCAAUGGGCUGCCCAGGAAGUCGGCUAUUCUUUCUUUUGUACUUAGGCACAAUCACUUUUCAGAUGAUUUUAAGAAUUAUUACAGGCACACAUGGGUUUAUAGAAAAAAGAGUCUCGGCGUGAACUUUGAUGCAUUUGAAUGAGUCAUUGAACUUGUCUGUGCUUGAGUUCUCCAGAGCAGGCCAGAAAAUUAGCUCCUACUUGUUACUGUAGUUUAUGUGGAAAUUGAUAAUAAUUGCGCUCCAUAAUGGUGUGAGUGAUGUAAUAGUCUUGAAGGUGUAAGUCUGAGCGCUGAUGCUUAUACUCUGUGAGCUUAGGGGAAGUUCAGUGAAACGAUGAACAAGCUGCCUCGAGAAAACUUUCCUCGCUGCUUUUCUUUCUUUUCCUCAUCUGAUAUUAAAAACAGAGAAAGAAUUUGAUGUUUGAUUCAACUGGCCCAGUUCGUUAAAUCAUCUCGUAUGCAGGAACACUUGCUCCAGCACAGUUUCAGCUUGUAAAUUAUUUCGGUUUCCUGCUUUCUAUCUUAGAAUAAUAAAAAAGAACAACUGGUCUGUCUGACUGUCUUUGCAGACUUCUCAAAAGAUGGUAAAUAAUGAACUGAUAUCAGUUCAGCUCUGAAAUGAAAACUACACAGUUCUCUUUCUGCUGCACUGAAAGCCGCUCUCAUUAUGUAACUAUUACUGAGCAUGAAUUAAAAACUAAUUCAGUGAACACCUCUGCACUCUAUGAAAGUCGAGUUGUUAUAGCGAUACUUAUUUCAAGCAGGUAAACUGAUCCAAAUGAGUGAAUCACUGCGUAGAAAUCUAUCUACUCUACAUCUGAUACACAAAGGAAUAUAGAGUCUUCUGUGCACGCUCUGUGGUUUUGUUGCAGGACCGCUGCAAACAUAUGCAUUGUUGAGUUCAACCAACAGUUUAAGCUAAAAUAAACCAAAGUCAAUGACGAAUGACUCUUUGGACUGUGGCAGUACUUCACAAGGUCCUCAGUGUAGGGCUGGGCCUCAAAUCAAUAUCACGAUAUAUUGAGCAGUUCACCUCGAUAACUGUAACAGCCGCCGCUCCAGCAGCUACAACUUUUGAACCGUCCUCCAUCUCCUCACCUGUCUUUCCCUCUUUGUUACUGACUGGAUGGGGUGGAGUCUCGUCUCUGACGUAGGACGGUGUCUUAAAGGGACAUGAGACCAUAGCCUACCUACACCCAUCCAAAACCAACUUUUAUUUUUUUAUUUUUUUGACACUGAAUAUGGGCGAAAUGAUGUCAGUUAUUGGCGUAAAUUUUGGUAUCUGUUAAUUUUCGGUUUAUCGCCCAACUCUAAUAUGGAGUCUUCUGUGUAUGCUCUUUAGUUUUGUUGCAGUACCACUCCAAACGUGGGGGCAGUGUUGAGCAGUUCAGCCAAUAGUUUAAGCUAGAUAAGCCAAAAACAAUUAAGAAUUACUCUUUAGAUUGUGGCAGAACUUCACAAGGUCCUCAGAGUCUCUGUUGUAUCAUACAGGUGCAUAAAGGAGCUAAAGGAAGUGUGAUUCAAUGGUGAAGCUUCAAAGCUGCUUUUACUAAAUGUAAAGAAACUGUUAUUCACAUCAGCCGCUGUUAAGUAAAGGAGCAUUUAUGUGGUGUGGAGCUGUUUGACCUCUGAGGUCCAGUGAAGAGUGUUUUGAAUGCUUCUGGGUCCAAAGUUCUCGAAGCCCUUUGCCCUUUGACCACUUCACCCCAGUAAGGACGAUGAGGUCGGACACAAUAUUUAGGUCCAUGGAUUUAUUUAUUUGUUUUAGAGAGUUGGUUAAGUUUUUCGAUAAAGUUACACUUCUACUAUUUUACUUUACUUUCUCUAAGAGCAUCAGACUCCUCAGUUCAUGGCCCUUGACUUAUUUGUUCAGGUCGUGUUCUCAUUAACAUUCAUUCCUUAAGGUAUGCUCGGGACAAUUCACCAGGCAGUGCUUCUGCAAAUGUGCACCUGGUUUUAGAAGAGUCUAGCUAGACUAACACCAGGUUUACUGACCUGGGAACAGCAGGCGUACUACACCGCAGCGGCGCCUUUGAGCGGCAGCACUUCAUUAGUCGAAGCAAUUACUUUUGGGCAGCUGAGGUUUCACCUGAGUUCCACGAGCGUGUGUAACGGAUUGAGACUAUGGACCUGCACCUCAUGAACGAGUCAUAGUGACCCCGUCGAGAUUGAAAGGGACAAAAGUUUUCUGCAGUGGAGAACAGAGAAACCAAGUUUGGAGAAAAUUAUAACAAUCCCACUUAGAGUUUCUUCUCUUUUAUGGUUUAUUUGACUGAAGCUCAUAACUUUGAUCAAAAUGGUCACAACACAAAUUGGUUUUUUAAAGUUCUCUCUUUCUUUAGAAGGUGAAGGGUGUAUUAUAUUAGUCUUGCUUAACUCAUACCCUUAAAGACAUAGAGAUGUCUCCUUGUCUGAGGUUUGCUUGUUUAUUUCCAGUCUAAAAAAACACCCACCUCAUCUACAUAAUAAUAUCUCCCCAGGGCCCCUUUGGUAUUAUUCUUUAUCACCUCACAUAAUAAACUCUUAGCCCCCUUGUUACCAAAUUAUAUGACCGUUAUAAAACUGCACAGUCAUUGCACUAACCUGCCCCCACUCUUUUCCUCACCCCUAUGUGACAGGUUCACUUCACUGUCAACAUUUUCGGCUCAGCUUUUAGGGGUGGGAAUCACCAGUGGUCCCACGAUAUUAUCACGAUACUUGGGCCACGAUAACAUUUUGCAACGCAGUAAAUAUUGCGAUACAAUACAUUGCAAUUUAUACUUUUUUUUUCUUUUCUAACUGUUUGGCUAAUUUAGCAAUUGGCUUUCCUUUGUGUUUGCGUUCCAGUUGUACUCUGAAGUCGGGAUUUCCGAGCUCCGAGUCAAAAAUGAAUCUAGAAUGCCCCUCCUGAAGUCGGAUUUCCGACUCGGAAAGUCGGACGAUCCUCGCCAACUUGACGACAACGUCAUAAUUCAAGAUGUGGUUCAAGUAAAAGCUCUUGUAUGUUUUAUUUGUUAGGACUUCUGUUUUUUUGUGAAAUUUAAUAAGUGGUAUUUGUUGUACUGUCCAACGUCUAACUGUGAACACGGUGCUGUGGUGUUUGUCGAGUAAAUACUGUAUUCUGCGUUGUUUACAACUGGUAUAGCUAACAACAACUAAUAACAGCUGACAACCGCUAACAACAACUGAUAACGGCUAAUGACAGCUGACAAUUGUAAACAACAGCUAACAUCGGGUAACUAUAGGCAUCCAUCUUGGUUUUCCGACUUGUUAACUGGAACACCGUCAACUUGGGUUUAACGUCAUUCCCAGCUCCGACAUCCGACUUCCGAGAUGACUAGAACGCAGCAUUGAUUAUGCAGUAUUUUAUUUUCAUGUAUUUGUAUAUUUUUGUUAAACUAACUUUCUCCUGCUCUAUGAUGUCACCUCUGCCAACCUCACUGGACGAACAGUUAAUUUUAUUUUGACUUGACUUUAUAUUAGCAAUUAAUUAAAAAAAUUGAUACUUGGUAAACUAGACGUUAUGAUAUAUCGCCAGACAAAAUAUUGCGGUACUAUGCCGUCUUGAUUUUUUUUCUCCCACCCUUAUUGGCUUUGUCCUACAUUAAAUUAACCCACUUCCCAUUAUCCCAUUUGGUCUGUAACCUCUCUCUAUUAAAAAAUUAAAAAAGUUUUCACUAAUUAGCUUAUGAAUAAUUUGCUCUAAUUCAACAGGUGACUACAUUUCAAAGUUUACUGCAGAAACACCCCGCGAGACGAAAACUCCCACGUCCUGUGAAUGCUAAAACAAGGCCAGCCGAAUGUAGGGCAGUGCUCUUCUUCACCCCCCUCGCCUCCUCUGGUGACAGAGACAGGACUACAAGAAGUAGACAUAUGCGUCCUGCUACAGGGGCCAAGCUUAAGGGAACAUGCUGUGUAACGUACACCACCUGUGUGCCUCCCUGGCUGCUGUAUUACUGUGGCUACAGUCACUGCGACAGGCUCAGCAGAGGUCAUUUGCAUACUUUAUGACUCUAGGUAAAAGGAGAUAGCAACCAUUAGAAGGGAGGCAGGGACGGUGUGUGUGUGUGUUUGAGAGAGAGAGAGAGAGAGAGAGGAGAUGGUAAAAGAGUGCUGUUUAGCCUGACUCAUAAGGGCCUGCAGUUAAAAGCGUUCGAAUCCAUCUUCAGGCCUGAGGAUGAGCUGAUAGGUGAAGAAGAGCAAACACUUUAGAGGUAGGUUGUUUUUGACACUUCGUCUCCUACCAGACACAUGUUUUGUAACCUGGCCUUCUGUGAUGCUGUCUCUCUCCUCCUGUUGUUGCUGUUGUUGUUGUUAUUGCGUCUGACUCUCUACUCCCAGAGCUAACUCCGUCUCAGACCUCGGUGUCUGUACACUCGCCUCUUGCUUUCCUCUGUCCGUCUUGUCAGCGAUGGAUCAAAUAGAAAUCCCCGAGCACAGCUUCUCUUAGUGAAAGUGUUUAAUGAACUGCUUUCUACGCUUGUUGUGUUUAAAGUGGAAACAAAGCAACCGGAGGAGAAGGAAUAACAGAUUCAAAUUGAGAUCUUUGUAUUUACGCAAAACAAAGAAAACUCAAGUACUUGUUGUUUGCUUCUGGCAAAAGUUAUUGACCAGACAUGAGGAAGUUUAUACGGCCGUAUCACAUUCCCACCAUUUGUUUGCUGAGUCACAAGGGCAGGGAGUGAACUUUAUCCCCAGCUGAGCAACAUUACGCCGAUGCUAAUCAUUUACCUUGAGCCUGGACUGAUGUAAGAAGUAGUAAAACAGUAGUCCCUCACGUGUCGUCCCUGUCUACUGUAAACUGCAGGUGGAAAAUAAGUCCUCCUUGAAUGACAUGUCUUAAUGAGUGAUUAAGUGCGAACAUUAAGCCUAUCUCCUUUUAUCUAUCAUUUCCAUUUGUUUCUAAUGAAUGAGUAAUUAGCUGCUAAAAGUGAUUGACAGGUUGCCCCAGGAAGCAAGAAACAAGAUGCUGAGAAAUCUUCUCUGACUCUGAAAGUAAUUACCUUUAAUGACUGACUUGAUAUAAAUAAUAUUAUCCUGACGAACGCCAUUAUCAUACAGGUUUAAGUGUCUGAAAUAAAACAAAAUAGUGGGUGUUAAAAGAUAUAUUUCAUAUUUUUCUUUUUUUUGUUUUAUUUGUAAAGGAUAGGAGAGUGAAUGGAUGAGGAGAAAAAGUGAGGAAAGUUGUGAUUUAUUUUGUUUUCCUUGUUUAUGAAUUGUUUAUUUUGCACUCAUAUCGUUUCCACACAUGUGGGAAGAGGGGAGCAGGUCAGAGGUCAAUCCAGUUCACGUGCUUGAGUAUAUAGCUAGCACGAAGAGUGGGAUUUAUGGGGAAGUUAUGAUGUCUGAUAACAAAGAAAAUACACGUUUUCUCCUUUUCUCUUUUAUAACUGACAUUGCAGGGAGUUAAAAAUUGAGUUUCCUUGGGGUAGUGAUUUAGUUCUUGAGAAAUUAAAUAGGUCUUUUAUUGUGUUUUGAUGAUGGUGGGGCAAAGUUUCAUAUACUCAACAGAUGUAUUCAGAUUUAUGUCCAAAAUAUGAACUUAAAAUUCCGAUUCUGAAACGAACUCUCACAUUUGCGUCAUGCACACAUUUAUAGCCGUCCCAUUCAAGAUUUAUAAGUCAUUUUGAAGUUAUAUAAAUGACAUUAUGGAAUUGUAAAUCCCACAAAUUGUUUUGCAUGUGGGGAACAUUCAUAUUCUGCAUUCAGUUAAAGUCUUAUCUAAAUUUCCAUGUCCAUAUCUCACGCCCCUUUUAUGGAGUCAUAAAUCCAUGCUCGUAUAUCGUGGUCUCAUGUCGGAGAGUGCAGACAUUUCAGAUGAACAAGUUUCCUCAAAGACACUACCUGACUUUAAACACAGUGAUUGUGAAGGUUCUUGCUGUGACAUGUGACAUUUACACAAGCACAAGUGCAACAAUGACAGGAGCUGCUGACACCAGGAUGAAGCAGCCUAAAAUAACCGCACAAUAAUAACAGGCUUCUUAUUUUAUACAGCCAUAUAAAAAGUAUAGUCUAUAUAGAAUAUAAUUAGGUGUGUAUUAUUAAUUACCUUUAGCAAUUAUGCCAUGAAAGGUCAUCUUUUAUCUUUUGAAUCUGAGUUUUGAUGGAAAAAGUAAAAUAAAAUAAAAAAAAAAACAGAAGAAGGCAACUCAAAGAAAUAAUUCAAAGCAAUGCCCUUUGAGAGGCUACUUCACGUUUCCGUAAUCAGACCACCCACUGGGAUUAAAAUCUGUGUUUACGCUUGGAGCAAUAUACAGACAUUGGUUAUGAAUUAGUGUUUUACUGUUUUAUAUUGCAUAAAAGAACAUGCUGCAUCAUAAAACACUAAUGGGCGGGAAUGACUUAUUCAUCAUUUAUACGUUUUCAUGGUCAGUUCAUACGGACCGUGCUGGCAUUUAAAAAGUUUGCCAUUUGUGCUGUAGAUAGUCAGAAACAGUAAGAUAAACUUCCUCACAAACCUUGUAGUGAGGUCCAGAGGAACUAAACGCCCUUAAAUUGCAGGGAAUUCAGUGUGAGGGUCUAAAAGAUAAUCAAGAUUCAUCUGUAGGUCAAUAAUAAACUGUUUCCUUUCUGCUUGGAAGAGCUGGCACAGGGAAAGGCCAGAAAGAUGCCCCGGGGAGAGCAGGGUGCUGAAAGCCAGAAAAAGUCAGCUGAAGGCUACAGUCGACUGUCUGGAGAUAGUGCAGUCAAUGCUGUAUGCAGCCUGUGGAUGUUGUGGCUACGAAACUCAUCAGAUUGUGGAUGAAACAUAAACAUUGAGAGCUGAAUCAGACAUGGAAUUGAAGUUGUGACUGCAUUGUUAUAACUGGGGCGACCAAUAAAAUAAGAGCGAUUCAAAAGCAAUACAGUGAAAGUAAUGCUAAACACUGUGAUGAUGCGGUGUAGCUUGGAAAAAUGUUGUAUCACCACUCUUGAGGAAUAAAUGUGCAGCUUAAGUGUUAUGAGCUCUGGGUUUUUCAAAUUCUCAUACUCAAGUUCCAGCGAGCAGAAGCUGUUCAUUUAACUACGUUUACUAAAACCAUAGUGCUGUCAAACACACCGAGCAUACGGAGCGAAAGUGAAAUUGGAUUAUAGUGGGGUUUGGAAAGUUUCUUUGGUUCUUCAGUUUUUUUUUUUAGCCCUAAAAGUAGGCCAUCAUUUGUAACCGCCUUAAAAUCAACCUGCAGCGAAGAGGAAGAAGCAUGCCAGCAGUUUUGAACUUUUUGAGCUGUCUUUUAAACAUCUUUUUUGGUAUUCAUAAAAUAAGUAUUGUGGAGCAUUUUUUGAAUGAUUAGUACAAUUCCAUAAAGGUGCAAAUACACUAUAUUUUUAUGCAGUCUACAGAUAAGAAAAAUAUUUAUGUACAAUUGCGCUUAUUUUCAUUCUGCACAUUAUUCCAUUACAUAUUCUAUUACUGAGAUUGCAGCUUCUUUCCAUACUUAAAAACUCAUUUUUACAAGUAGUAAUGAAUAACUAAGCGGAUUUGUUUAGUACAUAUUAAACAUAAUCAUCAUUGGAUUGUGUGGUCAGAUCAAAAGCAAAGCAAAAAUCCUAAUUUUAAGAUGUGUCUGCAAAAAAACAAAACUCCAUAUAGUUUGUUACCCUCCACUUGGACCAUAUCCUACAUACAACAAAGCCUCAUAUGUAAAUAAGGGGUGAGGGAAAAAAAUUGAUACAGCAUAGCAUCACGAUAUUUUGUCUGGUGAUGUAUCUUAUCGUCUCAUUUACCAAGUAUCGAGUCUUCAAAUUAAUUGCUAAUAUGGAGUCAAAUCUAUGAUAAUGGAAAAAUAAAAUCAACUGUUUGUCCAGUGAGGUUGGCAGAGGUGACAUGAUAGAGCAGGAUAAAGUUUGUACAACAAAUAUAUAUAAGGUUUGCAAGAUGUGCCACAUAAAAAUAAGAUAUAGUUUAAGUAAGACAAACCUAAAGGAAGGCCAAAUGCUAAAUAAGUUGAACAGUGGAAAAACUUGUACAAAUUGCAAUAUAUUGUAUCACAAUACUCACUGUAUUGCAAAAUGUUAAAAAUCGCAAUAAUAUUGUAUCGUGGCCCAAGUAACAUGAUAAUAUCAUAUUGUGGCCGAAGUAUCAUGAUAAUAUCGUAUUUUGGCCCAAGUAUCAUGAUAAUAUCCUACUGUGGCCCAAGUAUCAUGAUAAUAUCUUAAUGUGGCCCAAGUAUCAUGAUAAUAUCCUACUGUGGCCAAAGUAUCAUGAUCUUAUUGUGGCCCAAGUAUCAUGAUAAUAUCUCAUUGUGGCCCAAGUAUCAUGAUAAUUUUGUAUUGUUGCCCAAGUAUUAUGAUAAUAUUGUAUCGUGGCCCAAAUAUCAUGAUAAUUUCCUAUUGUUGCCCAAGUAUUAUGAUAAUAUUGUAUCGUGGCCCACGUAUCGUGAUAAUAUCAUAUUGUGGGGCCACUUGUGAGUUCUAUCCCUAAUGUAAAUGGUUAAGUACUUCUAGAAAAACAUAUGUACCGCACACGGAAACCAAAAAAACUUCCCGUACAGACCAGGCCCUUGAGUACGAAGUCCACAUUUUAUGUAAAACUCGUAAAUAUUGUCCGUGGAGAAACGUGCUGAGUUACGUCAUAAUGUCCCACCAAUAAUUCAGCCAAAGAUAAGAUAAAGACAGAUAAGCAGAUCCUUCAGUCUGUCUUAUUCCACUGUAGUUCAUGAGCUUCUGCUGCAGCCAGGCUGUGGGGAAGCUUAUGAUUGAGAUAAUGACAGAAAGAAAAAAAGGCAGAUUGAAUGAAGGCGCACAGGGACUUGUAUAUCCUUCAGAGGGCUUUAGAGUGGCCCUGUACUCACGGAUGCUGUCGUCAUCCUCUGCUCUCAUACUCGCUGACAAAUAUCCGUCGACUCUUCUGAUCAUCCAAGGGGCUGAAGUAAUGCGCUUAGUUGUCUCUUGUCCCUGAGAGUUGGCCGUGCAUUUUCUGACAUUCUUUCAAUACUUUCAUUUUCAGAUCCCUCUAUCUUCUCCUUUUCUCUGUUGCUUUCCAGGGUUUCUCUUUGAAAGUUAUGAUACAGUGAAAUGCUGAUGCUAGCCAGUCCAAAACAUGCCCGAAAUGUAGCGAGAAAACAAUCUGAUUUAUUGUCUGUGUUCCUCAUGGAAGAUUAAAAUGAUGAUCUGGAAAACACUCCACGCACUGUAUGGUUUCUGUUCUCUGGAGGACUGCGGCUGCAAUGCAAAUCACAAUCAUACCCUCUCUUGUUACUUGUUAUCUCUUCUUUAGAUGUGGAAUUGAAAGAGAGUCCUUGAGCUGGGCUUUUCCACUUUUCCACACUCACAAACACACACAUACACCGUCUUUAACAGCUUGUCUUUUUUUUUUUUCCUAUCACAACUCUGUCCACACACAUUGUAAGAUGUAUGGGUUGAGUAUAUUCUUGGAGAUGUUGUUUACCCUUCAUGCUUGACGUGAUUUCAGAGUGGAGGUGGUCCUGAGCUGUCCUUCUUUGGCGCAUUACAUCUUUCAGAAGACGAGGCUUGAAAGCUGUGCAAGCAAAUGCAGCACAUACUCAAUUAUACAAGCAUUGAUGGAGUCGAGUGGUCAUGCGUAUACUGCAUCUAUGGGUACUCUGUUUUGUCCAUUUUACCCUUGUGCUGUUCAAUAACCGACAUCCUUGACAAAGCAUUCACAAAGUAGGCUAAAAAACUGAAACUAGAGCAGAAAGACGGCAAAAGAAAAAUAAACCAAAUGCAAUCUGUGAUACUUGAAUAGCAAUGGUUGUAGUAUGAUUCAAUGCAAUAUUACAAGCUGGGAUUACUAUUUACUAAAAGCAUGAGUAUUCUGUUAUGGAUGAGAGUGCUUAUUUAGCCGCCUUGAAGCAUGGGAGCCUCAACUUUCCCAUGCCGGUAGAUAAAACAUCCAUGAAGCAGUAAGCAGUAAAUAAUGUAAACACACAGAGGGAAGAUGGAACCAGUACAGAAAGAGGAAAUGGAGCGUUAAAAGGUAGCACAUUUGUCAGGACUACCCUUGGGCUAAAAAGCCCAUCUCUAUCCCCACCUGCCCCACCUUGUUCACAACCUGUAAGCUUCAAAGUCUCUGCAGAGUAUCAGUGAAAGUCCUCUGUAACGUGGUUUGAACACAGCAAGGGAACUUGUUGUGAGCUGUUGGGGGACAAGAGAUGCCAUUUGACAGGCUAAUAAACUUAUUACAUAUGAAGAUACAUAUAACGUGCAGUUUUGAUUGACAUGUUUGCACACUGUUAAAAGAACAAUCGAAAAAAUACACACCAACAAAUGGUAACAUGAUCAAUUUCUUAUUGUUUUAAUCAUACUGCAUUGGCAGGAAAAUCAACUCAGCACAAUGGUCGGAGAUUGUAUUGUAUCACAUCCCUCCAUACUGUUUCAUGUCAAGAUUGUGUCCAACACUGUAUCCUAUGUUUUCAGUCUUUGUUGUAUCAUAGAGUUUGUAAUUGUAUAAUGAUUAUAUAGCAGUUGUAUAGGACCAGUUUGUUUUGUGCAUAGACUGUAUAUAGAAUGGACAUCAUCUGCCUCCUUGCUGGGUGAAGCCACUCUGAGAACAGCACCCUCUGGUGACGGGCUAGAGAAUAGGUCAUAAAUACCACCAACUCCAGCAAUCCCAAUGGAGCUGAACUUAAUUACACAGAAUAUACAUUUUUCUCCCCCCUGGUUCUGAUGUUGACAUGUAUUUACUGUAAGACUGGUUUAUAAGUCCUCUUUUUUUCUCAACAGCGCCGUUUUUAAAAGUUACCAGGGGGUUUAUGUUUUUAUGAUUGACAGUUGAUAUAGCCUAUGGCCGUACAAGGAUUGUGUAGCCUUCCCUGGGGAUACGCUGUUUGCGCCGAGCGUCAUCACAGCGACUCUCCCACCGAAUGGGUACAAUGCUACUGCGGAAGUGGUGGUUUCAGAAAGUGGAGAAAAUCCUCGAAAUACCGAGAGCAUUUUUGGCUUCAAAUUCACAUAAUGACGGAAGGCGGAGCCAAGUUCUCCAUAGUGUAUAAAGUCUAUGGUUUUGUAACAGUAUCAUACUGUAAAGGUGUUAGCAUUGUAUCCUAACCAUAUUCAUUCUGUAUCAUUUUCUUUCAUAUCACAUCAUACUGUGCUGUACCAUAUUGAUGUGUCACAUAGUGUCAUACCGUACUGUACUGCACUGCAUUCCAUGCUCUUCUAUAUGGUAUCAUAUCAUCCUGUUAAAGAGCAACAUCUGUCAGAGGUUUUAAUGUGAUCUGUUUUUCUUUUUUUUGGGGGGAUGUUAAUUUGGCUUUUCAAUACUUGAAGUCAAAGAUAUAUAAAGUUGUACUUUGUGACAAUUCUAAGAGCAUUAGGGCAGAAAAGAAAUUCAGUAACAUUUGAGUUUUAUUCAUUUCAUUUCAGUGAAAUGAAUGGGCAUCUAUCAUACCAACCAAAUCUAAACACUGUGUUUAUUUUCCAUGAGCUGUUUAUUUCUUUUUUGAAUAUUUUGAGUCCUUAAAUACCUCUGGUAAAUGUCUUAAUUGAAAUUCUUCACUUUGCAGGACUGAAUAGAACCAAUGAAUGAGCUGCAGUCAAAGGAGAGAGACUGUCAGCUGUGGAGUUUUUAUUAAAGGUCAUACUUGUAGCUGGGUAAUAAUGCCAUUCAGAUCUAUUUGUUUAUCAUCUGUAUAAUCAGUGUUCUGUGGCUGAUAAAACAAGCAGUAAAUAUUUUACAGCAAUCUUUG